CAAGUUUAACGGUGUAGAAAUAUCCAAAUCACGUGAAAUUUUGAUAGAAAAUUCUUUAUACUAUAUAAAACAAGAUCAAUAUCUUUGAUUUAAAAUUUUAAUGUCAUAUUAUUACAUUUUGUAAGAUUUUUAUUUUCAGCCGUUGAUUUUGAGCCCCUUUGUUCACUAGGCAAAUGAUAUCGUAAAAUUAUAAAAUUUAUUUUCUAGGUACUUCAAAUACUCUAGAUCAAGUUUAACGGAGCCGAUCGAUGAUUCGAAAGUCGCAACAUCGAAAACGAGCUGGAAGCACGGAAGGUUCCAUACUUCCGAUAGUAUAGUAUCUAUAAUAUAUAAGUACGAGUGCUCCAAUACUCAUAAUAGUAUAGUAAUCACGGCCUAUAUAUAUAUAUAUAUAUUGUAUUAUCUUUUAUCAAACUGUGAUUAAUUUUUUUUGUACUCAUAUUUAUUCAUAUUUUUGUAACACAAAAAUAUAUUGAAAACGAACGAAUUUCUUUAGAAACAAAUUUGAUAAGUUAAGUUUUGUAUAAAGUUACUUGUUAUUUUGUUCCUUUGCAGGAAGUCCUAUGCAAUUAUUUCUUUCAUAUAUCACAAUAAAUUUUAAUGGUCAACCCUUUAGAAAUUAGACUUUUAUAUAAUCUAACGAAUGAGAAUCUACAAGUUUUUGUAAAUUUAUUAGUAAUAUAUCAAUAAGUAACCGUAGGGUAGGUGCAGCAUAUAAAAUGUAUUUGUACAUUCGGCAGCGUCGUGCGUUUUGGAUUUGUUGGUUUUAUAAUAACAUAGAGAAAAUCUUUUGUUUGAUUUAGUAGGUAAACCAUACAUAUUAAAUUUGGCCUAUUUGAUCGAUAUUAUUACUAAUAUUCAAUGAAUCUUAAUGUCACGAGAUGAUUUCACUCAUUUUCAUACUGAGCAAAUAACAACAUAUGUACCUAUUAUCUCGAGCCCAAGUGCAAAGUAUUUAGUGGUUGGUAUUCAAAGUCUGAAGUUUGAAUCCUAGUUGAUUCACAUCUUCAGCUAAAUUUAUUUCUAAAACAGAUAAAGCGGAUAAUAUACUAUCUUUCUCUCUCUAAAAAAAAGUGUUAUUAACUUAUUUACUAGUGUCGAAUCAAUUCAAUUGAAUUUGGUCGAAUUUAAUUAAUAUGUUAAUUUCAUACAGGUCCUUGGAAAUAUAGUGAAUUACAAAUAUAUCUCUAUAAACUUUAAUUUUUAGGAAAAACUUCAAAAAACCCCAUGUGGUUUCGCACUUUUUCGUUUUAGUGCCAUGUGGUUUAAAAUGUAUCAAGUUAGUACCCUGUGAUUUCGCACUUUCUCACUUUAGUACCUUGUGGUUUGAAGUGUAUCAAGUUAGUACUUUGUGGUUUUAUUUUUAUAUCAAGUUAGUACCCUGUGGUUUUAUUUUUGUAUCAAAUUAAUACUCCGUGGUUUUAUUUUUCUUUUAAUGAAAUCUUAAACCACAGGGUACUAAAGUGAGAAAGUGCGAAACCACAGAGUACUAACUUGAUACACUUUAAACCACAGGGUACUAAAGUGAGAAAGUGCAAAACCACAGGGUACUACUACUAACUUGAUACACUUAAACCAUAGGAUACUAAAGUGAGAAAAAGUGAAACCACAAGAGGGUAUUUGAAGUUUUCCCUAAUUUUUAUAUGUUGUUCUUAUAAAAGUCCUAAUAUUUUUAAAUAUAUCUCUCUGAUUUGUUACUAUUAAAAACUGUUUAUUUUAUAAGUGAAAUAAUCUUUUUGCCAUCACAAAUAUAUCCCUUCAAAAGUCCCAACUGUUAAUUGAAAAAAGGUGAAAAUGUCAAUCCACCUCAUUAACUAACUAAGGUUAAAUAUUUUAUCUAUGAUUAACUAUUUUUUUCUAAUGGAUCCUAACGGCAGAGAUAUAUUUAAAAACAUCAAGACUUUUGCAGAGACAAUAUGUGAAAAUUGAACUUUGUAGGGAUAUAUUUGCAAUUUAUGAUGUUUGCAAGGAUUUGUAUGAAAUUAACCUUUAAUUAAUCAACAAUAAAAAAAUCAGCAAAUUUUAUUAUCAACUCCAAUUAAACUUUGCCACCUGGCAUAAAAAAUAAAUAAAUGAUUUUUGUUCUCUCAUAUCUUUAUAAUUUAAAAUUACUAUAUUAUUUUUUAUUUGAUAUUUGUAAACUCUCAACCUAGCUCAUGUUCGGGUCAUUUAAUAAACUAGCAAACAUUAGCCUGCUCCAUGUUGCUCGUGUUCAGCUCUUUUAUAGCCCUAAGCCAUGUAUGGAAAGAAUGCAUGCAGCUAUGAAGCCACAAAUUGAAAUAAUCCCAUAUUUGGAUAUUAACAUUUCAAAGAGUUCGCGGUACCAUAUUCGACACCUUUCUUAACUUUUGAAUUCCAAAUAUUUUGAUAGAAUAAAAAAAAAUCGUGUCUGGACUCGAAAUAUUUUGAUGGAUAUAUUGAAUAAUUAACUGAAAAAAAAACAAAAUAAAAAUAAAGGGUCUGCUAGAACUUUGAUUUCUGAACCUCAUGCUCAUAUGCUUCAUAAAAUUAUGUAAUACAAUCAUUUUGUUUCAAAAGUUUUUUUUUUUUUUUUUUUUUUUUUUUGAAAAAUAGGUAGCAAGCUACCUGCUUCAUUCAUUAAGCAAAAUGAAUUAGGCGUACAAGAUGGAAGCAGCUACGGCCUCCGAAACGAGUGGGCAAAAAAAUAUAAAAAAAAAAACAAAAACAAAAGAAAAAUAGAAAAAUAAACGAAAAAUAAAAAUAAGAAAACUAAACAACAUGUCUGGACUCGAAAUAUUUUGAUGGAUAUAUUGAAUAAUUAACUGAAAAAAAAAAACAAAAUAAAAAUAAAGAGUCUACUAGAACUUUGAUUUCUGAACCUCAUGCUCAUAUGCUUCAUAAAAUUAUGUAAUACAAUCAUUUUGUUUCAAAAGUUUUAAUUAUCUAAUACGUGACAUGUGUUGCACGGUGAGCCCAAUUAUAAAGAUAACUACGCCCAAAUUGUGGCCCAGUGUCCCACAGGCCCAAAAACCAGAAAUAUUCUGGGUCCAUCGCACGGCCCAGUUUCUUUUACCUGGAAAUCAGAGGGAUAGAAAAGGGAGAUGGGCUCCCGAGGCUUUGGGCCUGGCAAGGCCCAUCUCAGGGCACGACGGCACGGGUCUCUAUUUGCGAAAGCACAAGCGGCUCAAAGACCGUGAGUCAGUUCCCCAGAUAACAGCCACUGAGCUAGGCCAACAGUUUUAUUCAGCUGUAUUAAUUUUAUAUCGGAAAGGUGAUAGAAAAGCAAUUUUUGAUAACUACGUGCGAAAGUAAUCGACAGAAACAUUGAGGCUAAAAAAUUCCAAGUACUGAUUGCAAGCUCUAAUCGUAAUUUCAUAGAUCCAAUGUCGUUCUGAUCUAAUAAUAAUAAUAAUCACUACAAUAGAAUUAGGUUUUAGGGACACAUGUUUGGGACACUUUUGAGUAAGUGUCCCAUUUAUGCUAAAAUUAAAAAAAACAUCUAUUAAUGCCAAAUAUAAAGUCCAAUCCAAUCAAAAAUAAAAGAUUACUCUGCUCAACCCACCAUACCCAGUCUAUUUGGCCCGAUUACAAACAGAAAAGAAAAAAAAAAAAAGAAAAAUCAAUUACCAUCUUUUCUUUUCUCUUCACUCAAUCCAUUGAAAUUCUAGACGAAGAGCCUUUCCUGUUGUCCUCUUCCGCUACCGUAGCCAACGAGAUAGAAUUUCGACGGUUGCUAAAUGCUUAAAUAAGUUUUGGUAAAUUAGCAGCACUCUUUUAAGUUAUAACGACACUCUUUAACUGUCACUAUAUACCUAGCGAUCUCACAUAUAGCAACACUUUUUAAAAGUGUCGGUAAUUUUGACUAGCAGCACUUUUUGAUAUGUACCUAGAUUUAAAAGUGUCGCUAUAGACCGUUUUUAUUGUAGUGAAUACACUUAUGUAAGUUCGCCGUCGGUUUUAAAUUAUAUAUAUAUGCUUGAUAAAACUGGAUCACAUGCAUGAUCAUAUAACUCUGUACAAGAAGAUUUACCAAAAUUUGUGUAUGUACAUAAAUUUCGACAGCAGGAGCACCAAGCACAUACGCAAAAUACACAGAAGUUGAGAUACAUGCAUGGAAAUGUCAUUGUACUAUUUGUUAUGACUACUCUGUGAUUAUUGGUUACUAGAUUGACUUUGUUCAGUAACAUCGCAUCAUCGGAGCCAGGCUCGAGCCUCCUUCGGACCUGGGUUGAUUUUUGAUAUCCAUCACUCGACAACGCAUGUUAUUUCAUUUACUUUUGUUCUACUGUCUUUUUCAGUGCUUUUACUAUCAUCAUGCGUAGGAUGGUUCAUCUGAUCUCUAUUAUAUAUUUAUAAAAAAAUUUUGGUAUGGUAAAAAGAAAAUAAUAUAAAAAAUCCCUCUCCACAAUUACAGCCUUAAUCAUAGCUUAUGGUACGUAUAUUAACAGCUGUGUUGUACCUUACAUGCAUCAGAAACAUGCUCAAGCUUGAGGCCCUCAACAGAGCACAUAUCCUCUCAUAAGAUUCCUCUGCAAGCAUAUGAAACUAAUGCCUUAUAUUAAAGAUUACGGGCAUAAAAUCUGUAAGUGUGGGCACUAACAAAUGCCAUAGAAUUUAUUCCAUGUACCUAACUGGGGACCUGUAAGGGGUGAUGGCCCAGAGGAAGCAAAGCAAUCUCUAGCCUACACACUUGGUCCUUUCUUAAUGUCCUCAGCUGUUCUUAUGGCCACAGCUGGAACCAUGCUUUGGGUGCACAAAAAGCUCCCCCAUCAUUUCCCCAACCUUUGCUUUUGCUUUCGCGAAAACUUCAAAAUGCACAUUUUUAUACUGUAGUAUAGUAUAACAUAUUUGCAGCUUACUAUCCUUGCGGUUCUUUUAGCGUAUCAUUUUACUUUAUAUUGUUUUAAUUUUUGUUUCGUGUAAGGAGUGAUACUGUUCGUGCGUCAAAACUAUUAGUUCUGUAUUGGGUGUCAGUAGGAUUGCAGUUAAAAUCUCGCUCGGUACAUGAUGCCAAGGGAAUUUUUUUAUUUUUUAUUUUAAUGGGUAUGGAUAGGGAUUGAACAUUUGAACACAUGUAUCUUAAGGUGCCGAGGAGGCAUAUCAACAAAUCUCCCCUUUUUUAUUUGCCUUUAUUGUGAUCUUCAUGGGAGGAUGCACUAGAACUUUGAAUAGAUCAUGUCUAAAAAGGGAGCCUUUAUUGUGUACCAUGCUCUUUGUUCUCUUUACUCUUCCGUGGUCUAUUGGAACCAUGGUGCCUGUUUUUUUUUUUUUUUUUUUUUUUUUUUUUUUUUUUUUUUUUUUUUUCUUGGAUAAGGAUAGACCUGGCAAACAGGCGGGUUUCUUGGACAUGUUUAAAAUUUACUUACAAAUUUUUGGAUGGUCAACAUUUUUAUCCAUAUCCGCCCGCAGGUGGGCGGGUGGGUAUGCGGGUUACCCGUAAUUUUUCUUUUUUUGCUCUUAUAUUUUUUAAAUUUAAAACACAUAUAUAAAUUUUAAAAUCAUAAUAUAACUCAUUGUUUAAAAUAUCAUAGCAUACAAUAAAAAUAUUUAAAGUUUUAAAAUAAAAAUAUUUCAUAAUAUAAAAGACACGCAAUAAAAAAUUAGGAUUAGAAUUUUUAGGAUGGAUAAAUAAAAAAUAUAUUAAUUAAAAAAUAUAUUUUGUAAUUAAAAAAUAUAUGUGCGAGUACCAGUGCGUACAUAUAGGUUACCCAAAAUGCCCACUGCUUAAUAGGUACACAUCCGUUUUAUCUGUAAUUUUUUAAAUUGAAAAAAUCGGUACUCAUACCCGCAAAUUUAUGGGUAACCCGUGUGUAUCCGCAGAUUUGGGUCAAGAUUGCCAGGUCUUGAUAAGGACCAGGUUUUGAUAAGGACAAUGACACGGGACCAUGGCCUAGGCCUAGUAAUAGUUCUUAGACCUCACAUGAAUCCUAGAAUUUUGUUUGAGCUUUUUGUGUUAUAUUUUUCUUUUUUAAUAUACGAAAAACAAAAAUUACAGACAUUUAUAUCGAGAUAAAAUUCUAAAGGGCCCUGAUCAAAACCACAUAAAAAAGUCCUAAAUUAUGCAUCAUGUGUUCGCGAAUGCUAAAUCAUGCACUUAUAGUUGCUUACAAUUUGUGACAGUUUCUAAAAUAGUUGUCCUUAAAGUAUGCAUUUUAUAUAGUGUUGUGUUUUUUUAAAAAAAAAUACUCGUUCAAUAUUUCCAGACCAUUUUGGAAUGACGAUGUUUAAAUACACUGCCUUCGUAUUUUGGAGGGUUUAAAAAGUGGAAAGAGUAUUACAACUUCAUUCCACUAAUGAUAUAAAAUGAAAACAGAAGCUAUCACGUAAGAGGCAAAUUAUUAGAUGUGCCUCCAAAUUUAAUUAUCGAGUUUAAUUUUGUGCUCCUAAUUUGCUGACAGUUUUGUUGUACAAUAAAUUUUGAAUAAAUAUUUGUGAAAAAAAUAUAGAUGUCCGUAGUGGGUGGCAAAGACUCAAGCCCGUCGGCUCGAGCCUGUAACCUCGCGGUACGGAUCAGAUUCGAUAAUAAAGAAACCUGUUAAAAAAUGCCUUUCUUUUUUUGCUUUUGAGGCGAUACAGUGGAUUGUAACUCCACAAUAUUGUAUUGACUUUUUCAUAGUGAAUUUCUCUCCUUUUUUACCCUUGAUUUUUUUUUUCCUGAAUGUAAAUAUUUUUUUUGAGAGAAGAUUUUCUACGUAAAAUUUUGUGUUCUAUUUUAUUUACUGUUUUGUAAUUUGUUUACUGUAUGAUCACCGUCCUCUGUUUCUAUUUUGUACACUUGUCGUAAUAAAAGUGCUGCUCGCUACUCCCUCCGAUAGUUUCAUAACAUUGGGAUAGAGGGAGAUAGCAAAGCAUUUAUACAAUGUUUUAAUUUUGUAUUGUAGGCGAGUUUGUAAACACAAUUUCCACACCCUAAAGAUGUGUAUAGCGAAUUUUGCAGGUGAUCUCAACUCGAAAUGUGCUCGUUUUGCGCUUCCACAAUUUAAUGCCAAUUCCCAGGAAGAAACAGAUAUUUGUCAAUAUAUUAACUGUUUCAAAUUAAAUUCCUUGUUUAGAGAGAUAACCUCAUGUGCUAUAAUUAAUGAUAUAUAUUUUUUCUUUUUAUCUUCUUAAGCCCCACAAUAUAUCAGUGUAAUAUUAUUACACAAUUUCUGCUCAAAAAUAGUGUAAUGUCACAACCAGCUCAUACUAGCUAUCAUAUGACACUACAUAGAUUUUGUACAGUGAAAUAGGUCACUCAUGGAGCCCCACAUUUUCGUAAGUUCAAUUCUCCGCUUAUUAUGCACAAUUUGUUUAUAUCUGUUAAUUCUGAAUUUUACAUCACAAGUUACUUGAAGAGGACUAUAAAUUUACAUAUUCAUUCUUUAAAAAAGUUGAAUUAAUUCAAUGUGAGCACCAUUUUCAGAAGCAAACUAAGCUAUUCAUGUUAUAUUCAAAAGAAACUUCCAUUGCAUGAAAGGAACCAGUGUAAUUAGACACAAGAAAGGAAGAGAGAAAGAGAGGGGGCAAAAAAAGGAAGCAAAAAAACCAAUAAAAGAGAGAGAGAGAGAGAGUAAAUUAAAAGAACCUCUAUGUUUCCAUCUUUGGCAACUGCACUUAGCAACUAAACUUUGGAGACCUCCUCUUUUCAAAACCUACUUACUUUGCUUUCUUUUUUCUGAAAUUUAACUACAUGAACUUUUUCCCUCACAUUUCAAAUUGCCCAAGCCUAUUAUCAGACAACCUUGUUUUGUAUGCAGAUCUCUUGUACUCGCACCAUGUGAACUCCCUGUAGAGGCUCUGCUUCCCUUCUUCUAUCAACAGCGGCAAUGGCGCCAGCCUCUCUCUCGGCGACGGUCCCCCGAAGUAUAUCAUCGACACCCGCGAUUGCGCACUGUUUGCCAGAACCCGGUGUUUUACGCUCCUGAAUCUUCCAUUUGUCAGAACCUGUAGCCCAUAGAAUUAAAAAGCCAUUGGAUUAGUAUUAUUAUUCACACACCCACAGAAAAAGAGUAAACCUGUGUGCAGUUACUGCAUGUUACUGUGUGAUACUAACAUGCAUAUGCUUACUAGUAGUUGGAGGGUUUUGAACCACAUUCAUUUUCUAGUCCUCAGUGGACUAUGACUUAAAAGGAGACUUAUUUAGCAGCCACCAAAGUGUUGGUGUCUAAAUUGAUUCCAAUUCCCAAAUAUGAAUCCACGACUUGGCUUCAUAGACAAAGAUGUAUUCCAAGGUUCUAGAAGGAAAGGAAGGGUCAAAAGGAGUAAAUAAUACCUACAACAAGGUCUUAUCAUAAGAACAAAUAUUUAGAAAUAAUGGUUUUGAUACCUUUUACUUCUUCUAAUAGCAACCAUGGUGAAAUUAUUGUGAGAAGGGGCUCAAAAUCAGCUGCUUUUUUUACCUGCAAUGAAUCGCCAACAUUGAUGAAGAAAGAGCUUUGAUCAGGAGGAACAGAGACCCAACUCCCAUCCCUCAGUGAAAUCUCCAAUCCUGAGGUGUUGUUGGACCUCAGCAAAGAUAUAAUCUGGGGGUCAGUGUGUUCUCCAAACCCAGUCAAGCCACAAUCCAGGCCUUGAAGGUGUGGGCAUGGCGGGUAGUGGUUGAGCCGCAACAUCGAGUCGCUCUCCGAAUCCGUGACCAAUUUGCUGAACACAUUCUUUGGUUGAAUUUUCAGGCUCUCCGCCAUUAAUUCUAACACCUCACAAGCUAGUUUUCUCACAGCAGUGAUGUACUCAUUCAAGACCGAGCUGCGGCAAAAAGUUUAAAGUUAAAGUUUAAUCGUAAGAAACUAAUGGAAAUAGUUGGCUAGUGAUCUUCAUACUUUGUUUGAGCAAAAUUAACUAGUACAAUUUGGUGAUUCGAUUUAGCCAGAGAUCGAGACAGCGCAUGCAUGUAAUAUCGGAUGCGGGAAUUGAACUUUCAACGUUUUAUUAUCCAAAGAAUCGAUCAUAUAGAAAAUGUGUCAGACAUAGUUUUUUUUUUUUUUUUUUUUGGUUACUGAACAGAAGAAUAUAAGUGGAUUAUACCAAAAACCAAGCAUUUGUUCUGCGGAAACAGAGGAAGUAUAUGUAAUGAAAUGAUUCUUACCAGAACAAGCUUGCUGAGGGUUCCUUAAGAAAGGAUAAUGAGGAAUGAGAAAUAGGCUUUGAUGUGAUCUCCAAAAGGAUGUACUCCACCCAGCCCAGAUCACCAUUUCCCCCGAUUUUCUUACUCCCGUAGCCGAAAGGCCCUGGGGAAGAAGCAGAGAGCUCCUUCUCGACCUGUGGCAAUGAGAAGAACCUCAAUGCUUCGUCCUCCAACUUAGCCAUGAGCUCCAUUGGGAUCCCAUGGUUGGUCACCUUGAAGAACCCGAGCUCCUCGCACGCGCCGAUGAGCCGCGCUUUCGACUCGGGAUCGGAGAGGUCGAUGACCGGGACAUCGGAGAAGAAGUUGGUGGGUUUGUGCACCACUGGGAGAGAGAUUUGCUCUAGCUCUCCGUGCGCCAGCACCACCAUGGUUGUUGUUGAGGUAAAAGAAGGAAACAGGGGGAAAACAGGGGAAAAACAGAGGAAGGGGCUUGAUAUUGGUGGUGAAUGAGAGCAAAAGCGGUGCAUUGGAUGUGUAUUUAUAAAGAGAGAACCGCCUCGUAUGGAAAAAAGAGAGAAAAUAAAAUGAAGUGGGACAGAGAAAAACAGAGUGGUCUCUGAGCAGGGGUUUCAUACAAAAUGGAAAAAUUGAUGGUCCACUUCUUGUAGAGUAAAAAUCCACCUGUUUACAAGUGAGUGGUGGGGGUGUAUUUGUAAUAAAUGGAUUGUAAUCCAAGUAUCGUUCAAUUUUUUUAGGGUAUCUAUCUCAAUAUAGCUGUUGCGCCGUUCGUACAACACACACUCAUUAGCCUUUAAUUCUAUCUCAUAUUUGAUUCACAUUUUCGGCGCAAGUGGCAAAAUAACUUGAUGGUUGGUAUUCGAGACCCAAGUUCGAAUCCUAGUUGAUUCACAUUUCUAGCUAAAUUUAUUUUUUAAUAAAAUAAAUGAAGCAGGUAGCGUGCUAUCUAUCUCUAAAAAAAAAAAAAAAUUCUAUCUCAUAUUUGAAUCUAUAUAUAAAACUAAUGCGGCUUUCUUUUUCGUAUUUAAAAUUUUGGACUUGCUUAUUGAAAAUAUAAAUUGGGUGAAAAAUAAACAAAUUUAUGGUGUACUAUUUGACGCAAGCAAUAAUUUCCUCACAAAUUGUAUGCCUAAAAGGAAACACUUAUUAAAUAUUUCUUAAUGUUUGGAAUAGGUCAAGCGAAAAUCUAAAAUAAAAUACUAUUAAAAAUUUAGAAUAAGAAUACUAAUAUCUAAUGUAUCUGAUGGUUAUAGGGUUUGGAUUGCUUCGACCUGGAUCCGACCCAUUACAAUAAUCCGAACUAAUAAAUGCAAGAUUUAUUUCUUGUUUUGCAUUUUUUUAAAAUUGAACAAUACUAGGAUUACAAUCCAUUUAUUACUAGACCAUCCAAAGACCAAAUUUCAUUCACUAUUCAUAUUAACUUCUUUUAUUAUUAUUAUUUAUUAUAUUAAAAUUUUAAAAAUAAGGUUAUCUUUCCAACUACUUUUCGGUUGUAGCUAGCAUUUUUCUGAAAAAAUCUAAGAUAACAAAUCUCCGGCAACAAAGUUUGAGAACUCAAAGAUAACUUGAUCCAUAUAUGAAUGUGUAUUUAAUUAUAUCUGAUUAGACAUAUUGAUUUCGGCGAGUUCCUUCACUCGAACUCCUACUUCCAUUGUAUUAAAAAUUUUUAUCUUAUUGAAUCUUAUAGGUACAACUCUUGUCGGUACUAGUGCCAUUCUUCCGUCUUCUAUGCAAACAACUUUUGCCACCCCAAUGCCUCUACAAUCGCACAACGUCGAGCUCCCCCAUGGUCUUCUCAAGCUUUCAAGUCUUUCGUCGGGAUUACUGGCCUCGACUACUUUCUGCUUUACUGACUUUACCACCGACUCUUGUCAUGCCUCUUGACGCACUAUAGUAUUUUUUUUUUUUUUUUCUGUUACUUAUAUUAAUGAAAGUGAUAAGCAUUCGCAAUCUAUGAAUGUUGGGCUAAUAAAUGCACGCAACCAUCACUUUAGUAAUUCGCACCGUCAUUUCCUGAGAUUGAGAGGGAUUUUCUUCAUGUAGUGGAGGCACAAAGACUAAAUUGAGGGCUGCUGCUUCUUCUCAUCUAUAAGGGGAUGGGGACAUCUUGGCCCUGAGAGAAAUUAUUUCCUGCACCCGAUGCACCACGUCAGCUGUACAUAGGAUGCAUUAAUCUAUCUCUUUUUCUUUACUUUCAGGAUCGAUCUGUCCGACAUUCGAGGCUGCCUAAUAUUAUUAAGUCAAAAAGAGCCAGAAAAAAAGUUGAAAAUUAUGUUCGAAUUAAACAUGUGGGAAUCUGCAGAACAUGCCGUUGAGUCUGAUAAUUUUUACUUCUCAAGCAAGAAACACGAUGCGGUGCAUCGAGCCUAGGCAAUAGUUUCUCAUCCCUGGAUAUUUUUGCCUCCCCAUAUUCAAUUGGACGGCUAGUGGGCCUCAAGGAGUUGUUAGAUACACUAUUUAUUUAUAGUAAUGAUGAUAAGUAAUGCUAAUGCUUUUAGAUAAAUUUUAAUAUUUAUUUGUAACUUUAAUUUGCAUACGCCGCCGUAUUUACGAAUAGAUCAGUAUUAUCACCUGCUAAGUAAAACAUUUAACUAUUCAAUAUUAAGGCCGUAAAAAUGGACGUGAUUUAGAAAGUUAAUUAAGUAAAACUGUUUCAUAAGAGAAGUACGUACUUUUCAUGUUGACACUAGGGAUAAUUCACUAACUAUUGAUAAUCCACCACAAGAUACUUCAACUUGUCACCAAUCAUAAGUAAAAGGAGAAAUGAAGCAUUUGUAGAUUUUUUUUUUUAUUUUUCCUCCAAAUCAUGCUUGUAAUGGGGAAACAAUGGCUUAGGACAAGUAUUCCUCCAACACUUGUUAAGAUAUAUUAUAUUAAAUAUAAAAAGUUAGAUGGAUUCAAAAAAUUUAUUAUUUUCACACCGCGUAGCCUGCAUUAUCAAUCCUAAUUUUGUGAAUCUUAACAAGUGCGUAAAGCACCCGAGAAAGAACACAUAAAGAAACAUCGGUCGCAAUGUUCUUUUUCUUGUUUUCCUUUUUUCUGCGUACUUUUGGGAUCACCAAUAUGUGCGACACAGAUGUCGUACGAAAGAGCACAUCGAGUGCGCGAAAUAGCAGCAACCCUAGCCGCCGAUUAUAUUUAGGUGUGACACGCGAAGUCCAACUUGAUUACGAGCUUUAACUAACUCUACCGAAGAUAAUGUAGUCAAUGAUGAACAACAACAUCUUAAGCAUCCACCGAAAAUGGCAUUAAAAAUCGUGGCAUCCUAGCACUAUCGUGCCGAAAGAAGUACAAAUUGGCGUGUCGAAUUAGAAAUGCCCGCGUUCUAAGGAGUCGUGCUAAAUGCAUGCAUCUAAAUAUAUAAGUAGCAUUUCUAGAAGAAAAGUGACGCGCAUAUUUCUUUAAUGUUCGUAUUCGAACUCGUAAAGCAUUACCCUAUUAUUUUUCUAUUUUAGUUCGGCGGUGGCAUAUAUGUCUAUGUGCUCUGCAUUUAUUUGACUAAUUACGUGUGUAAAUAUAACUUUGAAUUGAACGACGAGAGAUAUCAAGGAGUGUUUUGGAUACAUUAACUUUGCUGGGUUUGGAAUUUACUAUAAACCAAACUUUGAUGAGCGCCAAUGAAACUAUCAUAUAUAUAGAGAGAUAGUUCACCUAAUAUAUACUGUAGAUAAUAAAUUAAUAUUAUUUACUAGCACCGACUAUAUAUAUUCCUAACGUGAGUGACAAAGGGUUUGAUGAUUGAUAUCCGAAGUCCCAAGUUUGAAUCCUAAUUAAUUCGCAUUUCUAAAUAAAAUAAACAAAGAUGAUAGCAUGCUGUCUAUCUCUCUCUCAAAAUAAAAAUAUUUACUAUCAACUUUUUUAUCCUUAGAUUAUUAUUAUUCCAGCAACUCUCACUAAAUUCGAAGCAUCUAAUAGUAAAAAAGUUGAUAAUAAAUAUUAUUUUCUAUACUAUCAAUAAUAUUUUGCCUCCGCCAUAUAUCUUUAUGUAUAGGUCGAUAUCUGAAGCACAUUAAUUUGUGGAUUUCGUACGUGCUUGGGACUAAUGAGACAUUUGGUUGGUGGGAGUGAGGUAAGGUUACAAUUAAGAAUCCCAGAUAUAACUCCUUUCAAGUUGAAGCAUCAUCACUCAUCACUUGUGAUAAUCUAUGUAAGAUAAUAUAAUCAAAGAAGGUAAAGUGUUCGGUAAUCUUUAUUAUGCAAAUUAUAUAUAAGUUACCUAUUCAUCAAGAACACGUGGAUGGUUCAUGAAAUAUAAAUUACAUGAAAAGUAUGAAAUCGGUUGGCACAAUUCUGAAUCGCUUCUUCGCUUUAGAAGUAAAUAAAAAGAUUGAACUUUACUAAUUUUAUGUUAUCUGCAUCUAAAAUUUUAUAGAAAAAAAAAAAUAAAAAAGAAAAACUAAUUAGACUAAUUAAAAGUCCCAUUCGGGCGUAAUGGCCCACCUUGACUUCGAGUCACAUUGAUGGAAUCUUUGAAUUUUUUUUCUAAUAAUUUUUUAAAUGAUUAUUCUUUUUUUCCCCAAAAAAUAUUAUAAAUUCCUGUCUCAAUUGCAGAUUCCUAUAAAAAUCACCCAGUAGUAAUGCAUGGAAAGGGCCCACGAUUGCAACAAGCACCGCAUGGAGGGUUAUUAAUUUUACCUGUAAAUAGUGCACCACGUAAGCCAUAGACUCUAUAAGAGAUCCCCACAUUCUUUUCUUGGUUAAAAGUUAUUUAAAAAUAAAAAAUAAAAAAUGGUUGUAUACUUAGACCGGUAUAAGAGUUUUAGUAGACUCUACAAAAAACGAUAAUCGUAAAAUAUUUUGACAUCAAUUUUGAAGGUUCAUUUGCUCUAAUAAAAAUCACAUAAUAAUCUCUAACUAUGAAUUGUAAUUCAAAUUAAAUUAAUCUUCAAUUCAACUUACAUAAAAAGUUAAUCAAAAUGAUUAAUAUGAAAAAAUGAUUGAGAAAAAUAAUAAAGAUUGAAGGGCCUUUUUCAAAUAUAGCAUGUACUUGAGUAGCUUGAUAUUUUUAACUAUUAAUUUUUGUAAACUAGUAAUUAUGAAAAGAAUAACAUCUGUGCUUUAGUCUAGAUUUUUUUAAAAAAAUAAGUUUAGAUCUUUAUUAUCAGAACCUUCAUUAGCUAGUCACUUAUAUUAAUUUUUAAUAAAAUAAAAACUAAAUUAUUUAAUUUUUGAACGCGCACGUGGGAAUCGAACUCUUAAUCAUUUGAUUAAUUGUGUAGAUGGUCAUGAUAUGUGAUUCAAUGUGAUCAUAAUUUUAUAAAUUUUACUGGUCUCUAUAAUUCCAAGCUAAAUUUAUACAAUAGAUAAAAUAAAUGAUUGUUAUUCUUACAACGUAAAAACGAAAAAGUAGAAAUUUCAUAAAAAAAAAAAAAGUAAGGUACCAUCUAAAACGGUGGUCCAUAGCUGACGUGGCUGUAAAGGCAAAGGUAAAGGUACACGCGGUCCACAAUAAUUGACGUCGGCAACCUAUCCCAACAGAGAUCGUGCCUUGGAAAAAUUCUAGAAUGCAAUUCGGGUAUAUUGAUGACGUGGCAUAAUAAAUCAAUCAAAUAUUUUUUUUAGAGAUAUAUGUUUCGUUAUGAUUAUAAAAAAAUAUUUUUAUGAUACUUUUGUUUGAAAAGAAGAAAUAUAAUUGGUUUGUUACUAAUGACGUGGUGCAAGCGUGACAUUGUAGAAUUUCUCGUCCGUUGGGCCCUUUUAACUGACGUGAUGUUAUCAAAGGGACUCACCGGGAAAAAUAAUUAGGAGCUGUUUAGUUGCAGUAAUUACAUAAUCAAAUUCAUUGUUUGGUCUAGCGUAGUUAAGUCUAAUUAUUACAGAUAAAAAUAUACAUCGAGAUUCAAAUACUAUAGCUGGAACUAUAUUCAAAUUAACUAUAGUUACAACUGCAGCAAUCAACGAGAAUUCGAUAAAAAUAUAUAUAAUAUAUAUAUAUAUAAUAUAUAUAUUAUAUAUAUAUAUAUAUAUAUAUAUAUAUAUAAUUAUAUAUAAUAUAAUUAGAUUACUAUAUCUAUUAAGUACCUGACUUUGAUACAUAGUCUUGUUUUCGAUUUAGGGUAUCAAAAUUAACGAUCACACCGGUAAAAUGACUGAUUUUAGGGUAUAUGAAGUUUCAGGAAUAAAAUUUUAGUUUUUUUUCGAAAUUCUUUACUUAGUAAAUAAAUUAAUGCAAAUGAGGUGGAAAUUGAAAUAAUCUUUAAAAUUUGAGUAUAGUAGACUUUUAAAUUCAAAAUCAAAGAAUUGUUAAACGCUUAACUGAUCGUUUACAAAAUAUUUUCUAUCAAAAAUUUGAAGAAAUUUUAGAAUUCUUCUACACCGUUAAAUCAAACAUCGCUCCAUAGUUAGCCUUGAAAAUUGACAAUUUUGAUAAAUGGUUUGAUCAUAAAGUAACAGUCGAAAAAAAUAUAAAAUUUUAUUUCUAAAAACUUUAAAUACCCUAAAUCAGUUUUAACGGUGUGGAUCGUUGAUUUGAACACCCUAGGAUUGAAAAUGAGACUAUAGUACCGUAGCCCCGGUACUAUAGAUAGUAUAGGAGACUAGCUCUCUCUCUCUCUCUCUCUCUCUCUCUCUAUAUAUAUAUAUAUAUUCUCUCUCUCUCUAUAUAUAUAUAUAUAGUAGGGCUACUAUACUCUUAUGAGUAUAGAGCCUUUCGUGCUCAUAAGUUGUUUUCGAUGUUGGGGCUCCCAAAUCGACGAUCCACAUUGUUAAACAUUAUCUAGAAUAUUUAAAACUUCUAGAAAAUAAAUUUCGUAAUUUUUCGAAAUCAUUAUAAAGUCCAUCAAGCGGAUAUAAAAUGAAUGGCAAAAUCGAACGAUGUCCAAAAAAUGGAUGAUCGGAUCCUUCAAUUUAAGAUUAGGGUUAUUAAUCUUUAUCUAAGUAAUGAAUAUAAUUUUCUAUCAAAAAUUCAAACUAUUCUGAUUCUUUUACACCGUUAAACUAGCAAGUAUCACAUACCGGUCGUUAAAAAUUAUCAAUUUUGUGAGUUUUUGAUCAUAAGGUAAAUGAUAUCGAAAAAUUAUAAAAUUUGAUUUCUAAAAGUUUUAAAUGCUCUAGAUAAUGUUUAACAGUCUGAAUCGUCGAUUCAGAAGCUCUAUUAUUGAAAACAAUUUAUGAGUGCGAAUGCGAUCGUACUCAUAACAAUAUAGUAGCCGGACUAUAUAUANGAGAGAGAGAGAGAUAUAGAGAGAGAGAGAGAGAGAGAGAGAGAGAGAGAGAGAGAGUGUUGAGUUGGAAUACUAUCGGUAGUAAACGGGCUCCAUUGCCACCAAUUUAUUUUCGAUGAUGGAGCCUCCAAAUCGACGAUCGGUACCGUUGAAAAUAAUUUAUACCACUUUAAGUAUCUAGAAAUCAAAUUUCAUGCUUUUCUAAUAUUGUUUUCUCGUUCAUCAAGUGAGCGCAAAAAUGAAUAUUCUCUAAAAAGUAAUGAUAGGAUUUUGUAAUCAAGAUCGAGAGUAUAGAUUUUGUUCUAAAUAGUUUAAAGAAUUUUCUAACCAAAAUUCAAUUGAUUAGGAUAGCUUUACACAGUUAAACGAGAAAACGCCUCAUAUCAACCAUUAAAAUUAUAAAUUUUAAAACCCUUUAAUCAUUAGGUCAAUGAUAUCGAAAAGAUUUGAAAUCUAGAUAUUUCAAGUGAUAUAUAUCAUGUUCAACGGUGCCGAUCGUCCAUUUGAAGGCUCUAUCAUCGAAAAUAAAUGAGUGGUACCGGAGCCCAUUUACUAUCGAUAGUAUUCUAGCAAAACUAUUAUAUAUUUAGAGAAGAGAGAGAGAGUGACUUAGAAUACUUUAAAGUCAGAUGGAUGGUGCUUGUGAGUUUUUAACCUUUGAUAGAAAAUUAGGGUGGAUGAGUGUAAGCUGGGUGGUUGGGUGGUAAGCGGAAUGGUGUUUCAUCCAAGGGGCUAAUUAUAAUUGUCAGGAGUAAUCCAAGGGCUAAAAACCUAAUAGCACCAAAGAGUGAUACUGUGUUAAAAUAUUCUAGCCUCAAUUUAUAUAUAAUAUAAUAUAUUAUAUUAUAUAUAUAUAUAUAUAUAUAUGAUUACCAUUCUCAACCAGAAAAACUAAGGCCCCAUGUGGCCCCAAAACCGACCAUAUGUCCAGAGCUUCAAGGUUUCUAUUUAAACGUGACAGUUGCCGAUCACACAAUGGCCACUCAGUAAAAUAUGCCUACCACAUAACAGAAUAGAGCCAGCUUUAUCCAGAAAAUAGCGGUGAGAGAGAUCUAAGUACAGAGAUGAGUAUAGAGAUAGGAGCAGAGAGAAGAGGAGAGAGGAAUCAAAUCACACUAUGAAAAGAGUACCUAGUCAAGGACACGAAUUUAUGAGCAUGUUUCUUUAUAUUUUAUAUUUUUCUUUUUAAAACAAAUCUAUUGAUGAUGAGCGACACUCAGGCUACUGAGAACCAAGCAAGCAAGCUCUAUCAAAUCAAUUGCCAUUAUCAUCCUUGUUCGAAUAAAUGCAUGCCGCCUCCAUAUAACUAUUUAGUGUUUAAAGUCGUUGUUAUUAUCUAGUGUUUAUUUCUGAACAAUUUAUUUUUGGUGUAGUUUUAUCAGGGAGCUCAAAAAAAAAACCCGUAUCUUCUUGAUUUUAAUAAAUUAGAAAAACAAAGAGUUCUUGACUGAAAUAGAAGUCUCUGAAAACUCACAAAAAAAACGGUUUUGCUUGUUUGAUCUAUUGUACUUUUGAAGUAUUUUUUAUACUGAAAUAACAAAUCAAGUACUUACCAAAUAAAGUUUACACUUUCUUUGUAACCCGAAAUGCAGAAUAAAAUAAAUUUGAAAUUUUGCUUCAACUAUCCUUCAAUAUUAUAAAAGUGAUAAUAUUAAAAAAAAUUAAUAUUAUCAUAGCGCAAACGGCAAAGGACUUCAGUGGUCGUUCCUAAAUUGUUACAAAAAGGUUGAACCUAACUAUAUUGUUCUUCAUUUUACUUUUUCUCAAAACAAAAUAAUAUUAAUUUUAGAAUAAUUCUACUAAGGAGCAUUAUUAUCUAAUUUAGUUGAACUCAAAACAAUAAUCAGUUAAAAGUUUUAGGCUUAUUCAUACAAGUCUGGGAAGAAUCAUCCUUUCUUAUAGGAAGCCGCACAUGUAAGCCCAAAGAGGUAAACUUAAGAAUAUAAAGAAGUUUUUUUUUGCUUUUUCUUAAGAAUUGUAGAUAUAUCUUUAAUGACUAAUGUAAUAAUAAGUAACGAUAUUAGCCGACGCUCCUAGCCAAGUCGCAAGGGCUUGUAGUUGCGCCCGCAGUUCCAAGUUCGAAUCUAGUUGAUUCACCAUUUCCAGUCAUGUUUAUUAUUAAUAAAAUAAACGACGGGGUAGCAUAUUAUCAUCUCUUAAAAAAAAGUAACGUGAUAUUCGGUUAAGUAUAAUAUAACUAUUCCUACCAUUUUUUCUAUUAUUUUCUUUUUCACUUCCUCAAGCAUGUAUGCACCUUCCCAUAAUUCCAAAAAGAACUAGUUGAUUAUAAAAUAAAUGGUAUGAAGACCCCCUAAACAUAUUCAAUUCUUAAAAUAAACCAAUGCUUAUCGUGUUAAAGUUAUCUGCGUUCAAAUUAACAUAACCAAUAAUUUACGUUACCACACCAUCAAAGAUUCAUGUCAUAUGAAAUAUUUAAUGCUAUCACAAAAAGAGACUACAAAGAGUAUAUCCAAGAUCUAAAACGCAUUCCAUAUUCCCCUCAGAAUCAUAAUUGUCAAUACUUCCAAAUUAAAGUAAAUUCCUCGCUAUCAAUCACGAAAGAAAACUUUGUAAUAAUUGUUCGACAAGUAUUCGUGUCCACAUCUAAGUAGGUACCAAGUAAAAAUGCUUUAAUUAGGCUCAUUUGUAAAAUUAUAUUAUUGACCUUCUAGCAUAGGUUUAUACGGUUUGAUGUGACAAUGACAAUAUGAAUUUCUUUAAUUCUGUCAUUGGGCUGAUUUAAAUGUAUCUACAAAAUCAAAAUAUCUAGUUUCCCAUGCUGACAAGAUUCAGUACCACGCCAAAAAUUCUACUUUACUAUAGCGUACAUUCGGUCCCUUAUCAACUUUUUUAUAAAUAUAUUACUAAUGUGAGAGAGGAUGGUAGCAUUGUACCACUUCGUUUAUUUCAUUCAAAAACAAACUAUACGCUAGAAAAUUAAAUCAACAAGAUUCGAACUUGAAUCUCGAUAACCAAACCAUCAAACCCUUUGCCAUUAUGCUAAUAAACUAAAUUUUUUGAAACACUUAUGAACAUUAAAACGAGAAAUGUAAGCUUAAUUUUUACAUGAACAUAGUUUUCUUUCUUUGAGAAAGGUAGCCCUCUACCGGCUCAUUCAUUAAAAAGUGAACUAAGCCUACUGAGUGAGACAUCGCAAGACUCAAGACGAAAAAAAAAAGUCUAAUUUAUAAAAUUAACCAGAACAUGUCUUCCCGCUAAUGGAAUGAAGCUUGCUCCACUGACUUGUAGUUGAUUAACUUUAAUUCAUUCGAGGAUUUGCUGUGGUCAUGCUAAGACGCACCGUUUUUGCUUCCCAAAAAACCACAACAGGUCAAUUAGCUCCGAUUUAGCCCGAGGGCUUGGAAAUUCUAUCUGAAACCCUUCUGUUUUCAUAUGGUCCGAUGACCAAUAGCACUUCCUCGCCAUAGUCUCUUAUGCUCACAUCUUCCAAGUCGUUACCACUAGAAAUCCUGAGACACCACUGGGUGAACAAGUGAUCAAUGACUCUUCUUCUGUCCUGCAUACACACAUAUGGUGUUGCCCGACCCAUCCCUCUUUUAGAGAUUCCCACAGUAGGGUUCUUUCUCUAGGAUACGAGCCAGCAGAACAUCUUCACUUUGAGGAGGGAUACGAAGUUUAAAUCUUUUUGCUCAGUCGAAGUCCUUUUACCCCGUCACCACAACAAGGAGUAGGUUAUUAUUGGAAAAAUCCAGUCAGGACGUCAACGCCAGUGCACACUGUCAGCGGCCCUUCCUAGUUUUGAAAUUUGACACCCGCGCCAUAAGUAAUGAAAUCUACAUUUAAUCCUAAUCAAUAUUGGCCGCGCAUCCCCAAUACUUACUGCGCAGUUCCAUCCGUUGUCCCCAGCACUCAUGAUUGUCAGAUUAUUACUGGUCAUAGCUGAAACCUCUGAAAAUGACAUUUGUAACGUAGUGUCUCCACCAACGGUAAUAAGUAUUUUCAUCCAACAAAUAGGGAUGGGUCUUACAAUGCUUAGACCACUGUGAGACCUGAUCAAUCUUUUUGUGCCUCCACACAAAACCCAGAUACAUAGGAACCCGUUCCAAGUCCCCUCUCAUUCAGCGUACCUCAGUAGACAGAGAGAAGAGAGAGAGAACGAGAGGUAGCCACCUGCUUUAGGAAAUCAUGUGCUCCAACUGAACACCUGGAGUGGCCCGAACAUGUGCCAGCAAUAUCUUAGUCCCUGGCGGCCCUUCCGCAGUCUCUCCUUUCGCUCUCUCCUUCAUUAAGUUAGCUGCCUGCACCCUGCACCCAUUCCCGUAGAUGCCGCACAUCUCACCUAGCUCAUUUUAUCUCUUAUUAUCACUUCUAUACAUUUAAAAUUUAUUAGACAUUCACAUCAAUUAUCUAAAUAAUUAUUUUAGAUCCUUUGAUCACAUGAUAAAUGAUAACAAAAAAAAUUAUUAAAAUUUUUUAAUUUCUAAAUAGUUCUAAUAACAUAUAUAUUCGUAUGAAAGCGAUCGCCGAAUCUGAUUAUUCUAUAUUAAAAAAUAAUAUUACAAUAUGCAGGUCUUGUUACUUUCGAAGCGUUAGAGGCACUCUCUCUCUCUCUCCCUCUCUCUCUUUAUAUAUAUAUAUAUAGUAGAGCCAAUACUAUAUACUUCAAAUAUUGUAAUUAAUAAUUUUCUGAGACUUUUACGACCGUCCUUAAGCAAGUCCGCAAAGGCUUGGUGUGUUGGUAACCUGAGACCCAAGUCUUGAAUCCUAGUUGAUUCACUUCCAGCUAAGUUUAUUUCAAAAUGAAUAAACGAACGGGUAGCGUGCUACCUAUUUCUCAAAAAAAGAAAAAUAAAGUUUCUGCUUUUUUGACAUUAAUUAAAAAUGUAUGAUUGGAUAAUAUAUUCCACUAGGGUUGGGGCAAUCUUCUAGAAGUUACAGCUCCCUCUAGCAUAAUAGUUUAAUCCCAAGGACUUAAAAUGAUCAAAGAGUUUAUCAAGCAUUAAAACUGGAAGCAUCACAGAAGGUGCUGCUUCCAAAAAGCAAUAUAGUCGGACUCUCUCUCUAUAUAUAUUCUCUCUUUCUUCCUUACACAUAUAUACAAAAGGGCAAUUGCUAUAUAUCCUAAAAGCUUACCGACUUUUAUUUUACCCUUCUAAGAAGGUAAUAUUAAAAUCACCUUUUACGUUCAACCUAUUUUAAAAUACCCCUAGAGUUAAAUCUGUUAUAAAAUCUGUAUCUAUAUAAAAUUAUUAGUUUUUUGCCAUUUCAAAUAUAUCAUUCACAAUCCACCGACUUUUCUUAUUUGUCCGCAAGUCAGAUGACCAAAAAAUAUUUGACUUUUGUCUUUUCAAAUAUACCCUCUACGUUACCAAAUUAUUUAUUUGCCUUAAGAAGGGACAAAAUUGGCAUUUAAUUUUUUAACUUGAUAAUAUUUUAAUCACAUUAACCAAGUAACUUAACAGGGAUAACAUAUAGAGUAUUUUCAAUAAGGUGGAGGAUAUUUUAUAAGAAGAAAACAAAAAGGGGUAAACAUCGAGAUAUUCUCAAGGACGUUAGAUCGUAUAUAUGGGCAAUUAUUCCCUAUUAACAACUAAUCAUUAUACUAUUAUGAAUACGAAUCAUUUAUAUUCAAAAUUUUUUUUUUAAUAGAAUUUUGAAUUACGAUGCAUACUGUUAUAAAUGAUUAUAUUUAGAGAUUUAAUUAAAAUAAUUUUUUAUAUUUUUUGAUUUAUUAUCUGGUCUAAAAAUAAUUUUGUAAAAGAAGUAGCAAGCUACCAUUUUAUUUUUUAGAAAUUGAAUUAAUAAGGAGUGUAAAACAAUUAUGCUAUCUAACUGUUGGCACCUCGGUGGUAUUGCACCAAAACUCUGCCAGUUCGCUAAGCAGUUUUACCAUGAAUUGACAAUUUAACAGCUAAUAGGAAUGCCGCUAGUUUAAGCGAUUGGUAAGAAAUAAGAAUCAGUUGAUUUUAUGUAAAUCAUAUAAUUCACAUAUCUUGAUCUGAUCAAUCACUAUAACUUAUCUUAGAGCUUGUACAUUUUUUAAUUUCACUUAUAUCGUGCUGUAUGAAUUUUAUUAUAAUUUAAAUUUAUAAAAUUUAUUUAUAGCACUCAAAUGCAUAUUUCGAUGUUUAGCAGUAUGAUGAUCGAAUCAGUAAUUCUAUUAUUGAAAAUAACUUAUAAGUAUAAAGUCGCUUUUAUUAUAAGACAUUAUAUAAAAUUUCUGACUAGUUUAAAUGUCUCGUAGAAUAACGUUAACUCUGUGAUCGUCGAUCCGGAAGCCUUAUAUCGAAAUACAACCUAAAAAAAAAAUAACUUAGAUUAUGAGUGACCAUCGUACUGAUAGAGUAUAGUAGCCCGACUCUCUCUUUUUUUCCCGCUCUCACCAAUGAUGAUAUUUUAAAGCAUAAGAGCUUAUUCUUAUAUUAUAUAUUAUAUUAUAUUGAUAUAUAUAUUAAUUAUAAUAUAUAUAAUAUAAAUAUAAUAAAGAGAAAGAAAGUUUGGUGCCAAAUAUUGAAUAGAUAAAUUGUUGACUUUCCACCCUUUAAAUGCUAGUAGCGUUGUCGCUGAACAAAGGGAAUAACCGUUUCUCUUUAUUCCAAAAGUUAUUUUGGUGUUUGAGAGUAAAUAGUUUUUAGAUUUCGAAAUAGAUAAUAACCUGUAUAAACUGGAACUACUUCCACCUUUUCCUCGACUAAGUUUGUUCCUAAUCGUGAGAACAAAGUUAAUUAAAAUUUAAUUUAAUUUUAAUUAUGUAUGAAAUCGAUUAAAUUAUCUAAUUAAAAUAUUUAAACCAUUAUCCAUUGCCUAGAAUUAAUAUAUAUAAUUAAUAAUUAAUUCAUAUUUAUUCUAUUUAAUUAUUAAUAAUUUAAUGUAUCAUUUAUAAACUAAUAUUAUAUAUUGACAAUCAAUAUAUGUUUAGUAAUCUAAUUAAUUUCUCUCUCUCUCUCUCUCUCUCUCUCUCUCUAUAUAUAUAUAUAUAUAUAUAUAUAAAAAGAGAGAGAGAGAGAGAGAGUGAGAGAGAGUUGAUAAGUUCAAUGUGAGAUAAUAUAAUAACUAUCCAUCAACAUAAUACUUUAAAAAAAAUAUUUAUAAGUUUUUUACUCUUCAGAGGUAUUUAAUUGAAUAUCAUGUAAAUUUCAUAUAUUGAUUAAUUCUGCAACAGAAGAGUGUUUUUAAUUUUAUAUUUUUAAGAUAUGUGGAGAUAUUUAUUUAGUGCAAUACUACUUGCACAUCUAUUUAUAGAAUGUAAUUUUUAGACCACACUUACCUAAAGGAUAUUAUUUUAUAAUUAGUCCUACCUAAUUUUUUGAUGCUAAAAACUUAAACUGGGUUUAUCAACUUUAGCAUAAAUAACAUAUAAAAUUUAUAUGUAAUAACAAGUGUAUAGAUAGCUUUAUUUAUUUGGUAAGAAAAUUGGUAUUGCCCAAACGAUUCUUGAUAUUGUCAACUCAGAAAAAUCUAAAUUAUCAAGACGUACAAUAUAUCUGUUCUCGCUAUAUCAAAACUAUCUAUCUAUCUAUCUAUUACAAUAUUAAUUCCCGAUUAAAUAUUAUAAAUCUUGUUUUAGAUUGCAAUAUUAAAUAUUAUAUAUAUCUGUUCCUCGGAAGGAGUGGGGCCCUCAAGGAAUAAAACUAUUAUUGGAGAUCAGCUCCUGUCAGUUAUACCAUAUAUUAAUUUUUAUUUCCAUUCAAUAAUUCAUUGAAUAUUUUUGAAAAAAAUUUCAAAUAUCACUUCUAUGAUUUUGAAGUGUACCGAUUUACUAUCCGUGGUUUUAUUUUUUCCUUUUUAUUAUUUCUUUCACUAUUUUUUUUUAGUUAAAUCAGUAAUAAAAUUAAAAUUAAAAUAUAUUAAAGUGAAUAUUCAAUAAACCAAGUUGGUGCAUCUGAAUUUUUUUGCAUAUAAUUUAAUAAAUAUUAACGAAAAAACUGAAAAAAAAAGAAAAAUAAAACUAAAGAAUAUUAAAUUGAUACCCUUUAAUUAUAGGGUACUAAAGUGACCACAAACGAAGCUCUCCCUACUGGAAUUUUAAUUUUUUUUUUUUUCUCCCACCGCAGGCUUACAUAGCGAGCGCUAGGGAUGCAAACGGGGCGGAUCCGGGGACAGGAGAGUUUCCCCACCUCCCGCUUCAUUUUUUAUCUGGACGGGACGGAUUCGGGGCGAGUUACUUUUCAUUUUAUUUUUGGCUCCCACUUACCGCUCCAUUCGGGGCGGAUCGGGGCGGAAGCGGGGCGGGAGCGGAUUUUUAAAGGAUCGGGAUAGAUUGAAGGAAGAAAAGAGUCUCCCGCCUCCCGCUCCAUUUACUUGGCGGAUCGAAGCAGAUUCGGGACGGGUUAUAUUUUUCUAUAUUUUUUAUUCCCACUUAUCACUCUAUUCGGAACAGAUUGGGACGAAGCUCUACCAACCCGGAUCCAUUUGCAUCCCUAGCGAGCGCAGGUGGGUGGGGUCCCAGGAUGUUCCCGCGCGAGGGAGCCGAUACGUGGCUGGGCCAGUUGCGCCAAAGCGAUCGUGAGGUCGGCAUGGAGAUGGGGCGGUGACGUGGCCGCGUCCGGCGCCUCCCGUCUUUGUCUGGCUUAUUUUAUUAUUGGGCCAACAGAUGACGUGCGCCGAUUCGAUGGAGGCAGAUAUUCGAGGAGGUUGCCACCGUUUCGUUGGACGUAGUGCACCACGUCAGCCCUGAACCGCAGUAUUUCGUUCGACACCUCUUAUUUGAAAUUUGAAAAUUUUUUAUUAUUUUUUAUUAGAAUUGUUUUUUGAAUAGUUUAUUUUGAGACGGUUCGUUUUAUAGUCAAAUAAUGUCGAAAAAGUAUAUAAAAUUUUAUUUCUAAAUACUUCAAAUAGCGUUGAUUAUAUCUAACAAAUCUGAUUGUUCAUUUGAAUUAAUGUUUUAUCAUCAAGAAUAAAUUAUUAAUAUCAAGAGUUUCGUACUGUUAGUUCAACCAGACUAUUAUUAAUAGUAUGCAAAUUAUUAUACUUUUUCACCAUUGGAAUAUCACUAUUCCAUCAACUUCCACUACACACUAAGACUACGUCUUAUUCAGAUAUAAAUAAGAAUUACUUAUUCCAGAGAUAUGUAUAAGUUCACGUACAAGCAGGAACUUGACCAAAUUUGCAUUUGCAUGAAAAUUGGAUUGUUUCUGAAGAUAAGAUAAAUAGUGUUUGGAUGGUUAGAUUGAAACAAGAGGAAUAAGAGUUAUAAUUUUAAAUUAAAAAUACUUUAUCUAAUUAAUUAACCUCAAAAUAUUAAGUAAAAAUAAUUUAACAAAUUGAGAAAUUUUUUACUUAUGAAUAUUGUAUGAGACAAUGAAUAUAUAUUAACCAAUUAAUUAAAUAUAAAGUAUAAUUUAAAUUUUUAAUUAGUUAGUAAAUUAUUUUAGUUAGAUAACUAGUAAACAAAAUUAAUUAGAUUACUAAACAUAUUAUUGAUUGAUCAAUAUAAAUAUUAGUUUAUAAAUAAAUACAUUAAAUUAUUAAUAAUUAAUUAUAAAUAAUAUAUUAAUUAAUUAAUUAAUUAUCUAAGCAAUGGAUAAUGAUUUAAAUAUUUUAAUUAGAUAAUUUAAAUAUUUAAUACCAUAAUUAAAAUUAAAAUUAAAUUUUAAUUAAUCUUGUUCUCACUUAGGAACAAACUUGUUCGAGGAAAAAAGGUGGAACAGUAGUUCCAGUCUUAUACCAGGUUAUAUUAUCUUAUUUCAGAAAUCUAAAAACUAUUACUCUCAAACACCAAAUAUAACUUUUGGAAAUAAAAGGAGGAACAACGGGUUAUUCCCCUUGUUCCAGGACCAAACGCUACCUAAGCAUUUAAGGGUGGAAAAGUCAACAAUAUUCUCUAUUCACAUACUUUGCACAACUCUCUCUUUCUCUCUUUAUAUAUAUAUAUAUAUAUAAUUGAGCUCUUAUGCUUUUAAAAAUAUUAAGUCAUUGGUGAGAGAGAGAGAAAAAAAGAGAGAGUCCGGCUACUAUACUCUUAUCAGUACGAUCGUCCUCAUACUCAUAAGUUGUUUUCGAUUAUAGAGCUUCCGAAUCGACGAUCCACAGAGUUAAACGUUAUCUAGAGCAUUUAAAACGUCUAGAAAUCAAAUUUUAUAAUGAUCUUAUAAAUAAAGCGACUUUUAUACUUAUAAGUUAUUUUCAAUAAUAGAAUUACUGAUUCGAUCAUCCAUACUGCUAAACAUGAAAUAAUGCAUUUGAAGUGCCUAAAAAAUAAAUUUUAUAAAUUUUAAAAUUAUAAUAAAAUUCAUCAAGCCGAUAUAAAGUGAACAAUUAAAAAAUGUACAACGUCUUAAAAAUAAAGAUUAUAGUGAUUGAUCAUGAUCAAGAUUGUGAAUAUAUAGGAUUUUACAUAAAAAAUUCAACUGAUUCUAUUUCUUCCAAUCCCUUAAACUAGCAGGCAUCUCCUAUUAGCUGUUAAAAUUGUCAAUUCUAUGGUAAAAUGCCCUUAGCGCAACUGGCAAAGAGUUUGGUGGUCAAUACCCGAGGUCCAAAGUUAGUAGCAUAAUUGCUUUACACUUCUUAUUAAAUUCAUUUCUAAAAAAAUAAAAUGGUAGCUUGCUACAUUUCUCUUACAAAAAUUAAUUUUAGACAAGAUAAUAAUAUCAAAAAAAUAUAAAAAAUUAAUUUAUAAAAUUUCAAAUGCUCUAAAUCAUAUUUAACAGUAUGAAUCGUCAAUUCAAAAAUUCUAUUAUAAAAAAAAAAAAAUUAUGAAUAUAAAAAUGAUCGUAUUCAUAAUAGUAUAAUGAUUAGAUUUUAUAUAGGGAUAAUUGCCUAUAUACCCAUUAUACGUUUGAAAAUAUCCGAUUUUACCCCUAUUUUUCUUUUCUUUCUAAAAUAUCCUCCACCGUUAUUGCAAAAUACCUCUAUAGUUAUCCCCUGUUAAGUUAACUUGGGUUAAAUGUGAGUUAAAUAUCUAUCACAGUUAAAAAAAAUUAAAAUGCCAAUUUUGUCCUUAACUUAAGGGCAAAUAAAAAAUGUUGGUAACGGUAGAGGGGUAUAUUUGAAAAGACCAAAAGUCAAAAUAUUUUUUGUACUCCUGACUUGAGGACAAAUAAGAAAAGUCGGUGGUUGUGAAAUGAUAUAUUUGAAAUGGCAAAAUAAUAAUUUUAUAUAGAUAACAGAGUUUAUUAACAGAUUUUAACUCUAGGGGUAUAUUUAAAAUAGGUUGGAACGUAAAAAGGGUAUUUUCAAUAUUAACCUUCUAAGAAGGGUAAAUCAAAAAGUCGGAAGCUUUUCAAGGAUAUAUAAGCAAUUGCCCCUUUUGUAUAUAUGUGUAGAGAGAGAAAGAGAGAAUAUAUAUAGAGAGAGAGUCCGACUAUAUUGCUUUUGGAAGCACCACUCAUGUGAUGCUUCCAGUUUUUUAAUCCUUGGAUUAAACUCUUUGAUCAUUUUAAGUCCUUGGAUUAAUACUAUUAUCUUAGAGGGAGCUGUAAAUUCUAGAAGGAUUGCCCAACCCUAGUGAGAACUACUAUUAUCCCAAUCAUAACAUUUUUAAUUAAAUGGUCAAAAAGUCAGAAAAUACUUUUUUUUCUUUUUUGAGAAAUAGGUAGCACGCUACCCGCUUCGUUUAUUUCAUUUUGAAAUAAACUUAGCUGGAAAUGUGAAUCAACUAGGAUUCGAACUUGGGUCUCGGGUACCAACCACCAAGCCCUUUGCCACUUGCUCUAGGGACGGUCGGUAAAAGUCAGAAAAUACUAAUUACUAUAUACUUUCGAAAGUAUAGUACUUGGCUCUACUAUAUAUAUAUAUAUAUAUAGAGAGAGAGAGAGAGAGAGAGAGAGAGAGUGCCUCUCUACGCUUUCGAAAGUACAAAGACCUUCAUACUUGUAAAUUAUUUUUAAUAAUAGAAUAUCAGAAUCGGCGAUCGGCUUCAUAAGGAAUGAUAUAUGUUAUUAGAACUAUUUAGAAAUUAAAUUUUAUAAUUUUUUGUUAUCAUUUAUCAUGUGAUCAAAGGAUCUAAAAUAUAAUUAUUUUAAUAAUUGAUGUGACAUGUCUAUAAAUUUAAUAGUAUAGAGAGUGAUAAAUAAGAGAUAAAAAUGAAGCUAGGUGAGAUUGCGGUGCAUAUACGGCGAAGGCGGUGCAGGGUGCAGGCACUAACUUAAUGAAGGAGAGAGCGAAAGAGAUGACGCGAAAAGGGCCGCCAGGGGACUAAGAUAUUGCUGCCACAUGUUCGUGGGCCCACCUCGGUGUUAGUUGGAGCACAUUGAUUUCCUAAAAGCAGGGGUGCCGGCUACUCUCUCUCUCUCUCUCUCUCUCUCUUCACUGUGGUACCGCUGAUGGAGGGAGACGUGGAACGGGUUCCAUGUAUCUGGGUUUUGUGUUGGAGCACAAAAAGAUGAUCAGGUCCUACAGUGACUAGGCAUUGUACAGACCCAUCCCUAUUUGUUGGAUGAAAAAUACUUAUUACCGUUGGUGUGGAGACACUACUUUACAAUCGUCAUUUUCAGAGGUGUUUCAGCUAUGACCCAUAAAAAUCUGACAAUCAAUGAGUGCUGGGGGGACAACGGAUGGAACUGGCGUAAGAUAUUGGGAUGCGGCACCAAUAUUGAUUACGGAUUAAAUACUACGAUUUCAUUACUUAUGGCGCGGGUGUCAAAUUUCAAAACUGAGAAGGGCCCUGACAGUGUGCACUGGCGUUGGACUCCUGACGGACUUUUUUCAAUCAAAUCAACCUACUCCUUGUUGUGUGACGGGGGUACAAGGGACGUUCGCGCCAAAAAGAUUUGAAAACUUCGUAUCCCUCUCAAAGUGAAGGUGUUCUGCUGGCUCGUCCUCAAGAAAAGAACCCCUACUGUGGAGAAUCUACUAAAAAGAGGAUGGGUCGGCAACACAUACUGUGUGUUAUGCAGGACAGAAGAAGAGUCAGUUGAUCACUUGUUCACCCAGUGCGUGUUCUUCAGAUUUCUAGUGGUAAAGACCUUGGAAGAUGUCGAGCUAAGAGACUUGGGCGAGGAAGUGACUUUGGUCUGGGACAUAUGGAAAAACAGGAAGGGUUCAGCAAAUUCAAGCCCCGGGCUAAUCGGGCUAAUUGCCUGUUGGUGGGUUGUUUGGGAAGCCAAAAACGGUGCGAUCUUCAGAUUGACCAGGCAAGAUCCCUUCAAUGAAAUUUACAAGAUUAAUCAACUAACAAGUCAGUGGGAGCAACUUCAUCCAUUAGCGGGAGACAAUUGUACUGGUUAACCUUUUAUAAAUUUAUACUCUUUUUUUUUCGUCCUCCUCGAGGCUUGCGAUGUCUCACUCAUGUAGCUUAGUUCACUUUUUUAAUGAAUGAAGCAGGUAGCGUGCUACCUUUCCCUCAAAAGAAAAGAAAAUACUUGUUACAUGUAAAAAUAAAGCUUACAUUUCUCUUAUUUAAGUGUUCAUAAGUUUUCAAAAACAUUUAGUUUAUUACAAAUGGCAAAGGGUUUGAUGGUUGGUAUCCGAGAUUCAAGUUCGAAUCCUUGUUGAUUUACAUUUUCAGCUAAGUUUAUUUUUGAAUGAAAUAAACGAAGUGGUAGCAUGCUACCUAUCUCUCUCAACAUUUAGUAUAUAUAUUUAUAAAAAAAAGUUGAUAAGGGACCGAAUGUAGCAUCAGUAAAGUAGAAUUUUUGCGUAGGGUACUGAAUCUUGUCACAUGGCAAACUAGAUAUUUGAUUUUUGUAAGAUACAUAUUAACAUCAGCCCAAUGACAGAAAUUAAAGAAAUUCAUCAUUGUCAAUUGUCACAUCCAACCGUAUAAAACCUAUGCCUAGAAGGUCAAAAUAUAAUUUCUACCAAAUGAGCCUCAAAUUAAAGCUUUUAACUUGGUACCUACUUAGAUGUCGGAACAAAUUACUUGUCGAAAACUUAUACAAAGUUUUCUUUCGUGAUUGCUAGGGGAGAAUUUAACUUUAACUUCUUGGAAGUCAUUGACAAUUAUGAUUUCGAGGGGGAAUAUGGAAUGCGUUUUUAGAUACUUGGAUAUACUCUUUUUGUACAUCUUUUUGUGAUGCAUUAAUAUUUCAUAUGACAUGAAUCUUUGAUGGGUGUGGUAACGUAAUUAUUGGUAUGUUUAAUUUGAGACCAGAUACUUUACACGAUAAGCAUGGUUUAUUUUAGAAUGAACUAUGUUUAGGGGGUCUUCAUACAUUUUUACUUUAUAAUCAAACUAAGGUUCCUUUUGGAAUUAUGGGAAAGGUGCAUUACAUGCUUGAGAAAGUGAAAAAGAAAAAUAAUAGAAAAAUAUGGUAGGAAAAUAGUUAUUUUAUAUUAACCAAUAUCACGUUACUUUUUUUUUAGAGAGAUAGAUAAUAUGCUACCCGCUUCGUUUAUUUUAUUUAAAAAUAAACAUAGCUGGAAAUGUGAAUCAACUAGAAUUCGAACUUCGGAACUCGGGCGCCAACUACCAAGCCCUUUGGCACUUGCGCUAGGGACGGUCGGUAAUAUCACGUUACUUAUAUUACAAUUAGUCAGUUAAGAUAUGAUUCUACAAUUCUUCAGAAAAACAAAAAAAACACUUCUUUAUAUAUUCUUUAAGUUACCUCCUUUUGGCUUCACAAUGUGCGGCGUUCCUAUAGAAAGGGAUGAUUCUUCCCAACUUGUAUGAAUUAAGCCUAAAAUUAUUUAACUGAUUAUUUUGUUGAGUUGCUAACUAGAAUUAGAUAAUAAGUGCUCCUUAAGUAGAAUUAAUUUAAAAAUUAUUAAUUAUUUUGUUUUUGAGAAAAAGGUAACAUGAAGAUACAAAAUAAGUAGGAUUCAAACUUAAAAUCUUAGGAACCAACCACUAAGUCCUUUGCCGCUUGCGCUAUUGAUAAUAUAAUUUUUUUUAUAUUAUCACUUUUAUAAUAAUAUUGAAGGAUAGUUGAAGCAAAAAUUUCAAAUUUAUUUUAUUCUGCUUUCGGGUUACAAAGAAAAGUGUAAAACCUUUUAUUUGCUAAGUAAUUGAUUGUUAUUUCAGUUAUACAAAAAAUACUUCAAAAGUACAACUAGUCAAAAAGCAAAACCGCUUUUUUUUUGUGAGUUUAUCAGCAGACUUCUAUUCAGUCAGAACUCUUUGUUUUUCUAAUUUAUUAUAACAUCCAAGAAGAUACGGGUUUGAGCUCCACUGAUAAAACACACCAACAAAAAUCAAACUUUCGAUCUCAGAAAUAACAACUCAGAUAAUAACAACCGACUUUAAACACUAAAUAGCUUAUAGGAGGCGGCAUGCUUAUUCGAAAACAAGGAUGAUACAUGGCAAUUGAUUUGGAUAGAGCUUGCUUGCUUGGAUUCAUGCAGAGGCCUGAGUGGUAGCUACAUCAUCAAUAGAUUUGUUUUAAAAAGAAAAAUAUAAAAAAUAUAAAAGAAAACAUGCAUCAUAAAUUCGUGUCCUUGACUAGGUACUCCUUUUCAUACCUGUGAUUUGAUUCUCUCUCUCUCUCUCUCUCUCUCUAUCUCUAUCUCUAUCUCUGUACUUAGAUCUCUCUCCCCCCCUAUUUUCCUGCAUAAAGCUGCUCUAUUCUGUUAUGUGGUAGCAGUAUUUAAUGAGGUGGCCAUUGGGUGUGAUCGCGCAACUUGUCACGUUUAAAUAGAGAAACUUGAGCUCGGAACAUAUGGUCGGUUUUGGGGCCACAUGGGGCUUCGUUUUUUCUGGUUGAGAAUGUAAUCAUAUAUAUAUAUAUAUAUAUAUAUAUAUAUAUAUAUAUAAUUGAGCUAGAAUAUUUUUAUAAGUAUCACUCCUUUGGUACUAUUAGGUUUUUAGCCCUUGGAUCUACUCCUUGAUUACUAAUAGCCCUUGGAUCAAACACUAUUCCACCUACCACCAACCACCACCAGCUACCACCAUCAUCCCAACCCUACAUUUCUCUAUCAAAGGAUUAAAAACUCACAAGCACCAUCCUCUUGAUGCUUUUAGAAGUAUUCUAGCUCAACUCUCUCUCUCUCUCUAUAUAUAUAUAUAGUUUUGCUAGAAUACUAUCGAUAGUAAACGAGCCGUUUGACUUACCUAUUUAUUUUCGAUGAUAAGCUUCCAAAUGAUGAUCGGCUUACGUUGAACAUGAUCUAUACAUUUGAAGUGUUUAGAAAUCAAAUUUCAAAUCUUUUCGACAUCAUUUGCCUAAUGAUCAAAGGGUUUCAAAAUUUAUAAUAUUAAUAGUUGAUAAGAGGCGUUUUCUAUUUAACGGCGUAAAGAUAUCCAAAUCAAUUGAAUUUGUUAGAAAAUUCUUUAAACUAUUUAAACAAGAUCUAUACUCUUGAUCUUGAUUACAAGACUCUUCAUCAUUUUUUAAAGAAUAUUCAUUUUCAGUCAUUCAUUUUUCUAUUCACUUGAUGGAUAAAAGAACAAUAUCGAAAGUGCGUGAAAUUUAAUUUCUAGGUAGUUUAAAUGGUUUAGAUCAUGUUUAACGAAACCGAUCGUCAAUUUGGAAGCUCUAUCAUCGAAAACAAAUCGGUAGUAAAAGGCUCGUUUACUAUCGAUAGUAUCCUAGCUCAACUCUAUAUAAUAUAUUAUAUAUAUAUAUAUUAUAUAUAAUAUAUAUAUAUAUAUAGUUAGCUAAAAUACUCUUAAAAAUACCAUGAAGGUGGAUGUUUUUUGAGUUUUUAGCUAUUGGAUGGAGAGAUGUAGGGCUGAAAUGAUGGUGGCAGGUGGUGGUAGGUGAAAUAGUGUUUGAUCCAAAGAUUAUUAGUAAUCAAGGAGUAGAUCCAAGAACUAAAAAUUUAGAAGUACCAAGAGAUUGGUGUUUCUAAAAGUAUUCUAGCUCAAUUAUAUAUAUAUUUAACCCUUGGAUGAAAAAUUGUAGGGUCAGAAUGAUAUUAGUCGGUUAGAGUUGAGUGGUCCCCACUGGGUUAUAGUAUUUAAUCCAAUGGUUAGAAAUAAUGAAAAAAGUUGAUCCAAAGGCUAAAAAACUGGUAGCAACAAUGGGAUUUUGCUACUAAUAGUAGCCGAGUCCAACUCUAUAUAUAUAUAUAUAUAUAUAGAUAAGUCAAGUUCAAAUAACAUAAGUGUAAUAGUGAACAGUAUUACACUCUUUUUGAACCGUUGAUCUAAAUAUAAUCCAAAGAUCGAGGUAAAACAAUGGCAACUUUUUUAAUUUUUAUGUCAAAAUACUCUUCCCUACUCUAUAGGAUGUGACACCACUUUAAUAGCCUUGGAUUUCACAUUAAGUAAUAUUAUGAAACUGUACAUUGUUACACUAAUUUUUUAACUAGUCAUUGAGUUAGAUCAAAUAGCUUAGCAGUUUAGCUAUUUGUCACAUUGCUAUAAUUGGCCUUUGAACUUUACUUUGUUAAUAAUUUCAUAAAAAUUUUAUUUAUUUUGAUGUGAAUUGUUGCAAUCAAUUAAAUUUUGAAUUUUUUAUAAAAUUAAAUUUCAGUGUAUUAAAAUCAAUUGCAACCAUCCAAAAGCAUCGAAAGAAAUAAAAUGUUGAUAAUUUUUAUCUAAAUAUUGUCAGUUUUUAUAUGAAUUAUUUUGCUGUAAAAAAUUUGCUUAUAUUUGAGAUUAUCAACCAAAGUUAUCUCAGUUAGUAAAGAAAAACUGAUUAUACAGUAGGUUUACAAUGGAGGGGAAAAAAAAAGAAAAGAAAAAGGGAGUGAAACCCAAGGCUACUGCAGUCAUUUCAAAUCCUAUGAAGUAGAGAAGAGUAUUUUAGCAAAGAAACAAAAAGUUGCCCAUUGUUUCAUCUCAAUCCUUGAUUUGUACUUAAAUUUACGGUUCAAAAAAAGUGUAAUACUAUUCAUUGUUACACUUAUGUUAUUUGAACUUGACUCUAUAUAUAUAUAUAUAUAUAUUGCAACAUUAUUUCCCACAACUUGACUCCACUUUUCUAUCUAUUUUAAUAUAUAUAUAUAAAAUAUUAUUAAAAUAUUUUAUAAAAGAUCUGAAGGUUCAAUUUCUGCCAUGCAGUUUUAAAAAGAUUUCUGACAAGGGACAAAAGAUAGCCAACUAUCGGCUUGAUUCAAUUUCUUUAAUAAAUAAACUAAGUUAUAAAUAUAAAGCAAAUAACUUUUGAAUUUGGAACCUUCCAAAAGCAAAUAACUUUUUUAACAGAAGGCUAUUUCAUGGGUAACUUGAAGUAAGAAUAAUUCUUCUGCAACAUAGAACUAAAAUUAGUUCAAUCAUAAAAAUUCAGUUUAAUUUUGAAGUGUUCUUUUGGCCAUGGGUGCUUUUAUGGUACUUAUAAUUUUUUAUUUUAAUCAAAAAUAAAAAUUACUUAUAUUUAAUUUAAAUUUGAAUAAAAUAAAAAAUUUGCGAGGCUGAUAUGGGGUGCCAACAAUAAAAGCAUAAUUUAUAGACAGAAAAAAUAUGAAAUAUAUAUUUCACCCCAUCACGGAGGCAGAGCAAGUGGUGGGGCGGGUCUCUUACCCCAAAUCCGUCCCGUCUGCAUUCCUAUUGUUGAACCAACUAUGAAUCCAAAUUUUCUAGCACUUGUAGCUAAUGCCGCAAAUAGGCCAGAUCCGUCCCCUCUGCAGCUGUAAUAUUGAACCAGCAAUGAAUUCGAAGUGUCUGGGAUUUGUAGAUGGGCCCAUGUUCUAAGGCCUAAUUGUAAUGUAUUAAAUUUGAAAUUAGGUCCAUGUUCUAAGGCCCAUUGAAUUGGGCCUAAUGUUAUAGGUUCGGCCACGACACCUUACUAUUAUUACUUGAUGUGAUGGACCAUUUUCUGCAGGAAUGGGGCUUUGAUCCACUCACAUCGCUGUACACCGGUAGUGUAAAGUGUUUUUCUUACAAGCGGUGUAUGUCCAGGAGGUAAAGUAUUUUCCUUACAAGGGAGUGGUUAGAUUUGAACUCGACGGGAAUGUUCAUGUUAGUUCAAGCAAUUCUAUGAUUAUCAAAAGAAUCAAACCAAAAGAUGGGCACCUUAUAUUCACAUGAAUCUUAAAAAUUGAGGAGAUUACAUAGAGGAAUAAGAAAUUCGUACAUUCAAACGUUAAUUGUUACGUAUAAAUGAUGACAAUGGUAUCCAUCGUUUUCCACCUGUUUACGAAGCCUCUAUGUAUCACUGAGCAAAGAGAGCGAAGAAGGAGAAUAUAGAAGUCAACGCAACCGCAAUCGAUCCCGGAAAAGCCCCGGUGGAUCCACUUUCCAUUGCAGGCGCUGGGCUCGGAGCCUCUUGUGCGGUAACUACAGCAAAAGCUAUUGUAAGAAACAUUAGAAGUGCUUUCACUAGAAGCGCGAGAGAAGCCAUUACGGAGAGAGGAGAGACGGAGGUGUGCACGUAGAAAUAUGAGUUGCUGAAGAAGAAGAAGCUAUGUUUGGGUCAUUUUCUUAUUAUGAGUGAUGGUGCAGAGAAGUGAAUUCAGAGAAAAUGUUGCGGAAUAGCCAUUGAGAAAAGUACAGCUUCCCCAGCGUUUGAAUCCCUGCUUUUGUGGAACGCUCGAUCGGGGCGCUGCAGUGGGAAUUUAGCCAUUGAAAUGUUAAAUGCGUGUGCGUCAAUUAUAGAAUAUUGACGUACUAAACUAAUAAUAAAACUCUCAAAAUAACUCUCACAUAUAAAACUUUACGACUCAACACACCUCUUACACAUCCUCACUCUACUACACUAUACCUCACCACAUCACACUACACUUCCUCACACAUCCCACUCACACCACUCACACCUUGCUUCACUACUUCAUCUCACUCUUCACUCUCACAUACACACCUUGGUGUGGAGGCCUCACACCUAUUUAUAGGUCUCCAACCUAUCUACAUAAGCACUCUAGAAUAUUCUAGAGUAUUUGCUUCGAGAACUCACUAAAGUACUCUAUUAAUAAGUAGAGAGUACUAUAUUCCUAGAGUUUUCUAGAGUGCUUCAUUAGCUAGUAGAGAUUUGGAAAGGAAUAAAGCAUUCUGGAAUGUUCUAUUAAAGAGAGAGAGAGUUGCCUCUUUCAUCAAUUAAUGCAAGUGAACAAAAAAAAUGCACCAUGGUAGAAUCUCAAAAACACGAAUUAUUUCAGUAAAAAAUUGGUUUAUAUGAAUUGUGAAAUGAUAAGCUCCAUCUCAGAAACAUAAUAAUUAUUUUAGAUUUGGCUUCUAUGCAAGGAAAAUCGUUACGCUUUUUUUUUUGUUUGCUGAAACAAUAUUUGCAGUGAACCACAGAAAUUGCUACUUGGUUAAAUGGAUCGAAUCGAGAGAAACUUAAAAGUUAACACUAGCAUUAUGCAUUUGGUAAAAUAAUAAAAGAUGUUGUUUUGAGUAACAAAAUUGUACAUAUUUGGAAUGUCUCACUAUCACACUCUCACUACACAAACAAAUUAAUACUAAUGACCGUCCCUAGAACAAGUGGCAAAGGAUUUGGUGGUUGGUACUCGAGAUCCAAGUUUAUUUCUAAAUGAAAUAAAUGAAGCGGGUAGCGUGCUAUCUAUUUCUCAAAAAAAAAAAAAAAAAAACUUUAAAUACGGUACCUUUUCUAUUUUGAAAUGAGCAAUGCUAGUUGUACAAUCGAAAAUUGAUUAUAUUUUUACAACUUUAUUAUUCAAUAGUCUAUAUUUCUUUACUAGUCUUAUUCUCUUCUUGUUUUUAUUACUAAUAUCCAAAAAUAAUUUUGUAAAUUCUAUUCUAUCUCCCAUUUUGGAUUGUGAACUUAGCAUUCUUUUUUGAAAUAAAUCACCACAAAACUCGCUGUUAUGCUAAAUGGAAAUCAAUAUUAUUAAAACUGAUUUUAAUUAAUGUGUGAAUCUCUACGAAUUGAGAAAGUAUGCUAAUGCGUAGAGUAAAUAUAAGAGAGACAAAAUUAUUAUAAUAAAUUGGUAAAGAUCCAUAAAACAAUGAUGCUAAAAAAAAUAUUAGCAAAUUAUUAUUUGCCGAAAUAUAACUUUAGCACGCGUCAUUUGGCACCAUUUAUUAACACACUCAUACAUAUAGCACGUGUCGAUAGUGCAAAAACCAUAGUUUCUAACCAAGAUGCCUAUUUGGCCCACACGUGUAUCUUCACACAUAUGUACGAUUAUAUAAUAAUAAUUAAGCAGUGUGACGCACAUAGAGAUGUCAACAGGUCGGAUUCGGGACGGAUUUUUAAAAAUCCGAACCCAAACCCGACUCCAAACCCGAGAUUCGAUUCCGAAUCCGAACAUGACGGAUUUUAAAAAUUCAUACCCAAACCCGAACCUGACCAAAAAUCCGAAACCCGAAUCCGAACCCGAAUCCGAACCCGAAAAUUUGAAUCCGAAACAUUUAUUUCUUUUUUCAAUAUUUCAAAAUAUAUUAUAUUAAAUAUAAAUUUUUAAAAUACAAAUUCAAAUAUAACAUCAAAUUUUUAUAUAUAUAUUAUAUAUAAUACAAAAUAAAUUUGGGUUCGAGUCGGGUUCGAGUUCGGGUUCAGAUAGGGUCCAAUCAAAAUUCAUAUCCGAAUUCAUAUCCGUUGGGUUUCUAUUUUUUACAUCCAUAUCUGAAUCCAUAUCCAUAUCCAUCGGAUAUAUCCGUUUUAUUCGGGUUCGGAUUCGGAUAAAAUUUCGGAUAUCCACGUACCAGUUUUUAAAAGGUGAUCAAUUGUUUAUUUGGAGUUCAUGUAUGAGUAUAUAAUAAUUAAGCAGUGUGACGCACAUGUACCAAUUUUUAAAUGGUGAUCAAUUGUUUAUUUGGAGUUCAUAGCAAAGAUGAACGUGCACAUGGUCACAUGUCACACAUUUUGCAUAAUGUGCAAAACGAUUACUCAAAGUAGAGAAAGUUUAUUGCAAAAAAAAGGUAACUCACCAAAUAUUUACCUACAUUCAUAAUAUACGGAGAACAAUUCAGUUACAUAGGCAAAGGAGAACCAAACAUGCUCCAAAUGGUAGUCCCAUCCAAGUGCAUCGAACCAAAUGUGCGACUGUCCAAGUGCAUUGAACCAAAUAGAAUUGCUACUUUCGCUUUAAAAUAGUGAAUAAUAAAAGGGCUAAGUUAGGAAGCACAACCCACAUUUCUUGUGGUAAAAAUAAUCAUUGAAAAAUGCCAUUUUAAAAAAAAUUAACAAUUAGAUAACAAAAGUGUCCUACUCGUCAUAUUUUAAUCACAACAACAGCAUACCUAUAAUUAUUUAAAUUCGAGAAAAUUUACCACAACACAAGGUGCAUUCAUAUGUGAGUGAUAUGCAAUGUAUAAAGAACCAAGUUUUAUAUUAAUGUUUGAAUAUUCAAUGCCUAAACAUCAAAUAAUUUAAAAAACUUAUCAUAUUAAAAAGAGCAGUAGUCCGAUGUUUACAUAUAUUUUUAGAUUAGAUAUAUAAAGUAUAUUUUUAAAAAAUUAAUAUUAACAAAUAACAGUGUACACUGUACUGUUCGNAAAAAAGUAGUAGUCCGAUGUUUACAUAUAUUUUUAGAUUAGAUAUAUAAAGUAUAUUUUUAAAAAAUUAAUAUUAACAAAUAACAGUGUACACUGUACUGUUCGUUAGCACGCAUCAAUUUUUACUAAAUAAAGAAGUUAUACCAUUGCCAUACCAUAACUACUCCCGAGGAGCAGUUAAUUAAAACCCGGUUGAUACUUGAUACAGAGCUUACGAAGCGAAUCAGGAUCUUAUUAUUAAAACAGGAAAAAAAAAAAAUUAAAAAGAAAUCGAACCGGCGGCGAGUACCAACCUCGGAGUUCGAGCCAUGGACGACUACGCCGCCGCCGCGGCGAGCAGCAGCGGAAGCGGCGGCGCAGGAGGAGGAGGAGAAGGGCGCCGGCGCAGCUACUGGCGGUGGAGCAAGGCGGACCUGUUCCCGGAGCCGUCGUUCCGGAGCUGGGGCGCGUACGGCGCGGCGGUAUCGGCGACGGCGCCGAGGCUCCGGGAGCGGCUCCUCCACCGGUCGACGUCGGCGGAGGAGCUGGUGGUCCUCCGGCGCGAGAGCGAGCACCCGCUGCGGCGCUGCCUGUCGUGGCUGGACCUGGCCCUGCUGGGCUUCGGCUCCGUGGUGGGCUCCGGCAUCUUCGUGCUGACGGGCCUCGAGGCCCGUGAGGCCGCCGGCCCCGCCAUCCCGCUGUCCUACGCCGCGGCGGGGCUGUCCGCGCUGCUCUCGUCCUUCUGCUACGCGGAGUUCGCGGCGGAGGUGCCGUCGGCGGGGGGGUCCUUCUCCUACCUCCGCAUCGAGCUGGGCGAGUCCGUCGCCUUCCUCGCCGCCGCCAACAUCCUCCUCGAGGCGCUCGUGGGCGCCGCCGGCCUCGCGCGCUCCUGGACCUCCUACUUCGCCGCCCUCAUCGGCCGCGACCCGGACUCCCUCCGCAUCCACGCCCCGGCCCUCGCCGCCGGGUUCGACCGCCUCGACCCCAUCGCCGUCGUCGUCCUCGCCGCCACCUCCUCCCUCGCCGCCGCCGGCGCCCGCCUCACCUCCUCCCUCAACGCCGCCGCCUCCGUCCUCGGCCUCGCCGUCAUCGGCUUCGUCCUCGCCGCGGGGUUCGCGCGCGCCGACCCGGCCAACCUCUCCCCCUUCCUGCCCUUCGGCGCCCAGGGCGUGUUCCGCGCCGCCGCUGUGGUGUUCUGGUCCUACACCGGCUUCGACAUGGUGGCCACCAUGGCCGAGGAGACCCGCGACCCCGCGCGCGACAUCCCGCUCGGCCUCGUGGCCUCCAUGUCGGCCAUCACCGCCGUCUACUGCGCCAUGUCCCUGGCCCUCGUCAUGCUGCAGCGCUACGACCGGCUCGACCCCGACGCCGCCUACGCCGUGGCCUUCGCGAGCGUGGGCAUGGGCUGGGCCCGGUACGUGGUCGCCGCGGGCGCCCUCAAGGGCAUGACGACCGGCCUCCUCGUGGGCGCCCUCGGGCAGGCCCGCUACACCACCCAGAUCGCCCGCGCCCACAUGAUCCCCCCCUUCUUCGCCCUCGUCCACCCCAGGACCCGCACCCCCGUCCACGCCACCAUCCUCGUCACCGCCUGCAGCGCCGGCGUCGCCUUCUUCUCCAGCCUCGACGUCCUGGCCAGCGUCUCCUCCAUCAGCACCCUCUUCAUCUUCAUGCUCCUCGCCCUCGCCCUCCUCGUCCGCCGCUACUACGUCAGGGACGCCACCCCCGCCCCGGCCCUCCGCAAGCUCUCGCUCCUCCUCGCCCUCAUCGUCGGCUCCUCGGUCGCGCUCUCCGCCUACUGGAAUUCGUCCCACUCGGAUCGCUGGGCCGGCUACGCGGUGCUCGUCCCGCUCUGGCUCGCCAGCACGCUCGCCCUCGCGGUGCUCGUGCCGCAGCAGCGGGCGCCCAAGGUGUGGGGCGUGCCGCUCGUGCCGUGGCUGCCGUCCCUCUCCAUAGCGAUGAACCUCUUCUUGAUGGGCUCGCUUGGCUACGCAGCCUACAUUCGGUUCGCCAUUUGCACGGCGGUGAUGGUGGUUUACUACGGGCUAUUUGCGCUCCACGCGACCUACGACAUGGCGCAUCAGGUGGACAAGUUUGCGGAGUCCAAGGACGACGAGGGAGUAGGAGAUGGGGAUCCGGACGUUCUGCCGAGGAACUAGUUACUAGUAGUCAUUGUGGGGAAAUAACUUCUUCUCAGUUACCGCCCACCAUUUUCAUCUGCGUCUGUCUUAUUUUGAAGUGUCAAUUGUGUUAUUAUACUACGCUGUGAUGAUUUAUUGUCGAAAAAUUGAUUAUUCGAAAUAGAAAAUUCUUGUCAUUGUUCUUGAAGAAGAGUACUCUGAUCCUAAUUUGGACUAAUAAAUACUGAAUUAACAGUUGCCUAAGGUUAUUUUUUGUGCGCCCAAGCGAGUACAGAAAAGGUCGGAUCCGUGGUGCGUUCUGUGGUCUGUUUUCCCAAUGAUUAUAAUUGCCUAGAAGAUCUGCUCUAUGUUUUACUUCCUAUCAUAUUAUUCUCAUUAUCUUCUUAUGCAUUCUUGUAUUAAUUUCUAGCCGCAAAUAAAAGGCUUCUAGCUCCUGGACGGCUUAAGAUUUAUUCCUUUUUGAUUUGAAAAUAAUUAAUUAAUCAACUAUUAAGACAAUUGCAGACGUAAGAUGAGACGAGAGAAAGGAAAUUAUGCUUUCGGGAGAUGAGCUCAUGCUGUUGAAGUUUGCUGAUGUACCCGUCUUUGGCACCAUGGUGCUAACGAGGGGAGUUAAAGAGUAUAUAGAAUGAGGGAGGGCUCAAUAAUUAAGUGUGGAAAUCCAAAUUUGAAAUAGUCACUUUCUUAAACUUACUUUCGGGAGAUGCUUUAUGUCUAUACUUGAGCAAUUUUCCUUCUCACACGCUCGCAAAACUUUCAAAUACUAUUCACUUUUGAGACGAGAUCUUCCGUCUACUAUCCUCUUAUUCCUUGUUUCAUCUCUGUAUUUUCAAAGGAGAAAAGAUGCCUCUCAUCUUCAUCCGAAAAGUCGUAAAUGCAUCUUCCGUCCUUCUGUUGCUUUCAUUUGAAUAGUAUACCUCUCAUCUUCAGCUGAAAAGUCGUAACUGUAUCUUCUCUCCUGUUGCUUUCAUUUGAUAAUAAUACAAAGGGAUGGUGGUGCGCCUACAGUCUCAUUUCUUUGACAACAAUUGUCAAAGCCGGAGAUCUUUCCUUCAUUUUUUUAAAAAUUCAUAUAUGAGGGCGAAGAAGAAAAGUUAUCCUAGCGUGCAUCGGCUUCUUCAUUCAAAUUAGUUGUGCGGCUGAGAUUGAGCCUUUUCAGGAAAAAGUUUGCAGCAGUGAUGAUUGGCUGGGAAUGAGCAUUCACUUUUAUUUUGUUAGUUCACUCUUCACCUGAGCAAGAUUUUAAUAAGAAUAAGCUGCUCUGUGAUCAUUGGAUGUUAUUUAAUCCUUUCGGGAGGCUCUCGACUAGUCUUGCCAUUGUUUCUCCUCCUAAUGUAGUGACAUAACCUAAUAUCAAGGAGCUAACUAAUGCUAAAUUCAACUGCAUCAGUUAUUAUACGGUGAAAGAGCUACAAAGGCUUAUUUUAAUGCGUAACAUUUAUGGAGGUUGAUUCUUUAUUUAGCCAUCAAAAUAUAUGUUGAAAGGCAUAAUUCUACAAUCAAAAGAGAGAGAUGUCUAAGAAUUGACUGAAAUAGACGAAGAAUCUCACUAGAAUGCUGAAAAAUCUGAGAGAAAGAACUGAGUCAUGUAUUUGACAGAUUCAUACUUCAAGUUGAAAUGAAAAUACAGCUUAAUAGUCAUCUCUUCAUCAAUUGCUCACUAUCUUUAUGGAAAGCAGCGAAAUAAAAAGACAUUUUGUUUAUGGAUUAUCUUUGAACUAAGCCGUGAAAUAAAACGAAAAGGACGUAAAUAUGCAGUGUUUCAGAGCUCUGCUGAUGCUUUCUCCAUGUCCCCCUUCUUCUCUGCUUGCUUUGUUAACGCCUCAUCAGGGUGUGCAUGGGCCAUAUCAUAAGUUGCAUGGACUCCGAAGAACACAUAGUAGAUCAUCAUUAUUCCCGUGCAGAGACCGAACCUUAUGAAUGCCUGAGAUCCUAAAGAACCCAUGAGGAACAAAUUCGUCGCAAUUGACAGGGACGGUAACCAAGGAACUAAUGGCACUCCCCACACUUUUGGUUUCUGGCACUGCGGCACAAACAAUUGAAUCCCAAGUGUUCCGAGUAUCCAAAGAGGGAUAGUUACCAAGUACCCGAUCCACCCGUGUGGUCUUAAUCCCCAAUAAGCCGAAGUCGCCAUUGAAGAAGCAAUAAUUAUCAGCAGGCAGAUAACCAGCUUUAUCAGAUGAAGGCGAGAGGAGACCCCUCGCGCAUAGUAUCUCCUCACGAGAAGCGCGGUGGCCAUCAUCAUAAAGAUGAAGAGUGUGCUUAUGGAGAGAAGGCUCGCCAAUACGUCGAGGCUUGAGAAAAGGGCAAUACAUGCACUCGCGACGGUAAUAAGAAGAGUGGCAUAAAUAGGCGUUCCGGUUUUCGGGUGGACGAGAGCAAACAAUGGUGGUAUGAUAUGGCUUCUAGCUAUGUGAGUUGUGUACCUAGCUUGCCCCAGGGCUCCGACGAGAAGUACGGUGGUCAUCCCCUUGAGAGCACCAAGCGCGACGAGGUACUGCGCCCACUUCAUGCCCACACUCUUAAAGGCCACAGAGUAAGCUGCGUUUGGAUCGAUGUCGGUAUAUUUCUGCAUCAUGCUUAGUGCAAGGGCCAUGAGGCAAUAUAUUGCCGUAAUUAUCGACAUGGACCCGAGAAGUCCUAAUGGUAUGUCUUUCGAAGGAUUUCUUGUUUCUUCGGCCAUGGUGGCGAUGUUAUCGAAUCCACCAUAAGCGAAGUAGACAAUUGCAGCUGCACGGAAAACACCCUGGACGCCGAAAGGGAGAAAGGGUUUGAGAUUGCUAGUCUUGGCAUGGGCGAAUCCGGCGACGAUAACAAACGCUAUGACCAAGGAGUGGACUGCCGACGCGAUCCAAUUGAAAUAAGAGGUCUUCUUAGUGCUUAUCAUGGCCAUCGUCGAAGUGAUAAUGAGGAUCGCCACUGCGAGGGGGUCUAAGAGAUUGAAGUCCUUGGCGAGGUUCGUGUGGAUUACUAGAGAAUUCGCGGGUAAAUUUAGUAGUGUGGUGAAGUACGAGGUCCAAGACCUUGCCACCGCCGCGGUGCCGAUAAUGCUCUCGAGAAUCAAGUUGGCCGCUGCUAUGAACGCCGCAAAGUCCCCCAGUUCUACUCUCAAAUAUGCGAAUGAGCCCCCUGCCACCGGGAUUUCGACCGCAAACUCGGUGUAGCAGAAGACCGAGAGCAUGGCGGAGAUACCCGACGCGACGUACGAGAGAACUAUGGCCGGUCCGGCAUGGUCGUGGGCUUCUUGUCCUGUCAAGACGAAGAUUCCUGCCCCGAUGACCGAGCCGAACCCGAACCAUGUCAGGUCCCACCAGUUGAGGCAGCGCUUCAUCUCGUUCUCGCUCUGCUCCCUCAGCUUCUUGAGCUCCGUUCCCUCAUCGGACCGGCCGACGAGCCGGUCCAGGAUCCGGUGGCCGGUCUGGCGGAGGGCGGUCCGGUAAUUCGACCAGCUUUCGAAGGACUUCUCCGGGAAGAAGUCCUCUUUCCUACAUCUCCAGUAACUCCUCUGUUCGCAUCCAUCAGCAGCAGCCGCUCCUUCCAUUUUAUGCUUCUAGCAGUAGAGAAGUUGCUUCCGAGCAUUCAAUAAAUAAGCCUGUGGGUGAUAUAAAGAUAGGAAGCUUUUGAAUGAUUUGGAGGUCAGCCUUGGAAACAUAUGCAACCAUUCGAAGAAAACGUUGCCUAUGCUUUCAAAUAAUGAUUGUGAAAGGUUUGGAAUCCAUGACAUUUUGGUGGUUGGUUCCAUACUCUUUGAUGAAGGCUUUUUGUCUCUAUGUCAUAGAUCUUUAUCUCCUCUUUUUUUUUAUGUCGUUGCGGUUGCAGGCCUACGGAAUCUUGCUGAAACUAGGAGACACAGCUGCCCCCUCCAUGUUCCUCCAUAUCCCAUGUGUUUUUUUUUUUUUUUUUUUUUUUUUUUGAGAGAUAGAUAUCACUCUAUCCGCUUCGUUUAUUUUAUUUCGAAAUAAACUUAGCUAUAAGUGUGAUUCAACUAUAAUUCAAACUUGGGUCUCGAGUAUCAACCAAUAAGUUCUUUUGCCACUUGCUUUAGUGACGGCCGGUUGUGUUAAUUUAUUAGUUUCAAGUAAUGUGAACAGGUGAAUCUUAAUCAUUCAGGGCAAAGUACUACUUAUUUAAUAAGACAUUUAUGGAACUUGACUGAUAAUUAUACUUAAUCAUCUUGGAAUUUAUUUGAUUAUUGAAGUUCAUCUAAGUACUCAGAAAACUUAAAUUCUAUUAGCAAUCCUCUUUCCUUUGUUUUUUGUUAAAUGAUCCAGUUUGUGGUGCUUAAUUUGUUUCUCAGUUCAUGAUAGAAUAAGAAAUAUUGUGCCCUGAAGAUACGCCCAUAAGUUGACCAACUUGCAGAUAAGGCCACCAAUUUUUUGGAUUAGAACAUCAACCUGCACAAACUUGUCGUCAUUCUCUUGCCAAGACACCCUUUUUUCAGAAAAAUUUUCCGAAGACACCCUCUUCAUCAAUUACAAAUUUAUUUUUCUCUAAACUUCAGGGACUUGGUCAAAAUAACUUAAAACAUUUAAUUACAUUAUCUUUAAUGCUACACUUCCUUGAAAAUAUCACCUCACAUGAUGCUUUUAUUUAUUUAUUUUUCUGACAUAAUGUUAGGUUUGCUACUUAAAUUAAAGGGAAAACUUCAAAAAACCCCCCUGUGGUUUCGUGCAUUCUCACUUUGCUACCCUGUGGUUUAAAACGUAUCAAUUUACCCCCCUGUGGUUUCAUUUUUAUUUUUUCGGAAGCUUUUUCGUUAAUAUUUCGUUAAAUUAUAUACAAAAAACUUCAGAUAACCAUCUAUAUUUAUCGAAUAGUCACUUUAGUAUCCCUUAAUUUUAACUUUGUCACUGAUUUUAAAAAAUAAUAAUAAUAAAAUUGAUAACAAAAAGAUAAAAACAAAACCACAGGGGGGCAAAUUGAUACGUUUUAAACCACAGGGUAGCAAAGUGAGAAUGCACGAAACCACAGGGGGGGUUUUUGAAGUUUUUCCUAAAUUAAAUGACUAAUUUAUCUCGGAGUUAAAAGUUGUUAAAUCAGUGAAGUCAUUGUUAUUCAAUCAAAGUGUAAGAGGCUAUGAUAGACUUAUUACGAAGCCCGACCAAUCAAGUUAAUUUAGAUAGAAAAAAUUGGGAAUUUCUCCCAUUUAUUGAUAACUUUGUUAAAUUUAAUAAUUUUAAUCAAUUUUAGCAAUGAAAAACAAGAUAAUGUAUAGUUAAUAAAUUAUAGAACCAUUUGAAUUUGAUAAAAUUUUUAACAAAGCUAAGUAUUAAAAACUCACAUUGAAAAGUUUAGCAGCUGUGGAAACUACCAAGCUGGAGUACGACAGGGUACGUUCACAUAUUAAAGUGAAGUAUGGUACUUUUUUUUUUUUUUUAAUUUAAAGUCUAUUGAUGUUUCAAAAGUAUCUUUUCGGGAGUCCUAGAGAGGAAGUUGCGAUUUGGGUUGAUGUAUAGGGGCCUCAAUGAGGAAAAAAAAAAAAAAAAAGGGUAAAUUGCACUACAAGUACUGAACUCUGUGAACUUUUAGUCUGGUCUUAUUUUAGUCCUCAAACUAUUCAUUUAAAUUAGACAUUCGAGUCCUCCAAACUUUUGGAUUGUUUAGCUAAAUCCCUAUGGCUUCGUUUGGUUCGGGUAUAAAUAAAAACUAUUUAUUUCAGAGAUAGGUAUAAGUCUAAAUAUAAGCGAGAAUUACACCAAUUUUAUAUUUAGAUAAAAAUUAAAUUGUUCUCGAGAAUAGAAAAAUUAGUGUUUGGAUAUAUAAAAUGGAACAAGAAGAAUAAUAGAUAGUUAUAAAUAGAAAAUAAUAAUAUUAUACCUCUCAUUAUAUUUAAAUUUAAAUUUUUAAAUUUUAUAUUUAUAAUUUAAAAUUUAAAAUUUUAACUUUUAAAUUUUAAAANAAAUUUAAAAUUUUAAAAUAUUAAAUUUAAAAUUUAAAAUUUUAAAAUAUUAAAUUUAAAAUUUAAAAUUUUAAAAUAUUAAAUUUAAAAUUUAAAAUUUUAAAAUAUUAAAUUUAAAAUUUAAAAUUUUAAAAUAUUAAAUUUAAAAUUUAAAAUUUUAAAAUAUUAAAUUUAAAAAUUUAAAUUAUAAUUUAUAACAAAAAUCUCUCUUUCUCUCCCCCUCCCCCUCUCUCUCUCUCUCUCUCUCUCUCUCUCUCUCUCUCUCUCUCUCUCUCUCUCUGUAGCAGCGGGGGUGGAUGGAAACAAGCUUGGUGGGAACAAGCUUGUUUCCAUCCUGGGUGGGAACUAUUAUGUUCCCAAUCCAAAAACUAUCUAUAGAUCGAAAAGCUACAAUUUCAUGGAUAGUAGGAUUCAAAUGCCAAAAAGGAGAUCAAUGAUUGGUGGAUACUUGGUAUACAAACGUUGAGAUAAACCGGGUGUAGCCAAUAUUUCUUCUUCCUAUAAAUAAGGAUUCUAGGAUAGGGAUUAAAUGAAAUAUUUAAAAAGUGUAAGGUCUCAAAUAUUAAACUCAAAAAAGUUUAAAGACUAAAAAUGACACUUAUACGAAAGUUCAGACACUAUUAACGGUGCAAUUUACUUUAACAAUGUAAUUAAAAGUUGAGAGAAAUGUUUUUGAAAUGGCCUACAAUUUAUCUGAAAAUCUAUAAAAACCUAUAAAAAUCGUAAGCGUGACAUUGAUCUCGACACCGAAGCCACAAGAACACUCAAAACUGUUACUCAGAAAAUCGCUCUCCAAAUUCGAGCUGCAAAAAUGAGCAGCGUUCGCCUCCCUCAACCCACUUCUCUUCCCACCCGAACCCCCGCCAUUGCUCCUCCCACCACCACCCAGCCGAGCUCUCCACCUCUCCUCCUCAAAACCCUAACCCAUGGCCAACGCCGAACCCACUGGGCCUCGACAAUCCGUCACCAUUUCCGUAACAAUGACCACCGCAGUUGCAUCGCUUCCUACCACCAUAUGCUCGACGAGAACAUCGCGCCGAACCCCAAAACCCUAGCCCUCGUUCUCAAAGCUUGCGCCUCUUUACGUGACCUCAGAGCCCUGAGACUCCUACACAACGACGCCCUGCGCUUUAAAUUCGACUCUAAUGCUCCUGUGGCCGCAGCGCUUCUUGAUGGGUACUUCGCGUGCGGGUCGCCUGCGUUGGCCCACCAACUGUUCGAUAGAAUGCUUCACAGAGAUGUCGUUUCUUGGACCGUCGUUAUUUCACGCAGUUACAAAGAUGGGCUCUUUGAUAAGGCGGUGCGCUGCUUUAAGGCAAUGGUGGAAGAGGGCGUGGCUCCGGAUGAGGUCGCGCUGAUUAGCAUAUUGUCGGCGGUGACUUGUUCGGGUUGGUUGUGUUACGGUCAUGAAGUCCAUGCGUAUUUGAUUCGGAAUUGCUUCAAAUAUGGCAAAGCUCUGGCCACUAACAUCGUAAACAUGUAUUGUAAGCUUGGGAGAAUCAAGUACGCCGACAGGAUUGUGCAAACGGAUGCUCGGGACGAUGUAGGAGCAUGGACUGCGCUCAUGGCGGGCUAUAUUGCGUCGAGCGACUUGUACCCUGCAUUGCUUGUAUAUCAGAAGAUGACAAAUUUGGGAAUUGAGCCUUCGGAAAAAACCAUCAGUUGUGCUCUAAGAGCUGUUUCCCAUCUGGGUUCCCUUUCUCUUGGGUGUCAGAUACAUGGUUUCGUAGUAAAGCAACAGUUUGAAUUAGACAAUCACAUAGUAAGCAGUUUAAUUGACAUGUACAGUGUGUGCGGGGCUCCCGCUCGGUUGUGUCGCCAGAUGUUCGAUGAAAUGCCCAUGAGAGAUGUGGUUUCAUGGACUACCAUGAUAUUGGCCUAUAGCCGGUCCGGAGAGGGACAUGCUGCAGUUCAAUUAUUCAAUGAAAUGCGAAUGUCCGGCGUUCCACCUGACUCUGUUGCAUUCAUUGCUGUUCUCUCCGGUUGUAGCUCAUCGGGCUUGCUAUGUGAAGGAUUUAUGCUCUUCAAUUCGAUGGUUCUAGAUUACGGAAUAGAACCGACGGAGGAACACUUUGCUUGCCUGAGAAACUUGAUAACCAAGGAUGGGAAGUUAAAAGAAGCAUAUGAAGCAAUUGAAGAAAUGGGCAUUAAAGAUAAGAGCAGCAUUUGGCAAGCUUUCUUAGGGGCUUGCAGACUUCAUGGAAAUGUGAGUUUUCGCGAAAUUGCUGAAAGAAAACUGCUGAAUAUGGAUCAAGGUGAUGGUUCAGCAUGAUGAUUUUUUUUAUUUUUACACGUGAAAAAAAAUUAUUUGCUAUAACUAUUUUUUCCUUUUAAAUGUGUAUAGAGAAAUACACGAACUUAACAAUUCAAUGUUGUCUUAUAACAUUCCAUCAGUGUUCAGAUGCAUGUGAUGGUAUUUUCUCCCUUCUCUUGCCUAAGUUUAAAACACUGAGAGCUGUGCUUUAUUGCUCAAGUUUCUACUUCUCUCUGGGCGUAAAAUAAGCAAUUAUUUCGCUACUGGAGAAUUUUAUUCCAUAAAAUUGAUAAUAUUUUAUGUGUCGGUCCUAUCUCUUUGCAUUGUCAAAGUUAGUGUUUUGUUUGGUCGCACGAAAAUUUUAAUUAGCAUAUCUUUUUGAUUUUAGUUAAAAAGCUUAAUAGUAUUUGAUAGACGAGGAAUACAAUAAAAUGUUUCGAGUUGAUAUUAUGUUUGAUUUUGAAGUCAUAUUUUCCGAAUAAGAUAGGUUAAUACGGCGUCCUAUCAAAUUAUAAAUAUUAUUAUUUUUUAAGAAAAAAAAUUAAACUCCUAAUUUUCAAUCAUAUAAAAAAAUAUAUAUAUACUGAAUAAAUUAUUAUUAAAUAUUUUAUUCUGAUAUCCAAUACAGCAUCUCAAUAAAACAGACCUAUAUAGCUUGUUAGACGACUAAUGACUAAGCCUCAACUAGUCCGACUCUUUUUUAGCAAGUUGGGUCCGGCUUAGGUCAGUUUGUCAGUUGUAACUACGUUUAAAUUUAAAAAUCUUAUUUAGCUCCACAUAGUUGCAUCUACCUAUAUGUUGUAGUUGGAUUAAAGAUCCAAUUGCAUCUCGAAAAAGUCACACAAGUGGAAAAGAGUAAUUUGGUAAGGGAUAGCUUUAUCUAUCUACUCAUAUAUUAAAAUUAAAAAGGAAUAAAUUUUUAAUUCUUAGGUAAUCUUAUCAUACCAUGUGUAAGAUAAUAAAAUUUGUUUCUCUCAAAAAAAAAAAAAAGAUAAUAAAAUUUGUGGAUGCAAUUUUCAACCAUGAGCAAUCAAGUAAAAAAGUUAUAGUUAUAUUACUGUUAAUUACAUACUGUCAAACGGAUUAGCUGUAAAUAUGCAAAGUAUAUGUCUAACUAUAUGCAUUUCUAAUAAUAUGAUAUUUAUAAUUUCAUGAGAUCAAGCAAUCUCUUCAAUCAAAACUUUCAACUGAGAAAGGACUCGAAGUAGACAAUAAAAUUGGCUUAUGAGAUAAUUUCAAGGGUUAAUAAAUUUAGGGUGCAUAAAUAAAACAAGUAUCCUAUCUUGUUUGUCCUCCCAUUGGAUUUAGGGCUAGCAAUCCAACUCGUUGUUCGCGAGACAGUUUGUGUUCGUGUGAAAUUUUUUUCAACUCUUUCCGAAAUCAAAAUAGACUCCUGCCGUACCCUGCCUCCCUAGUGGAGUCAUUUUAGCCCCUUUUUUUUAAGCUCACACUUCCUUUGAUGUUCUGAAUUGGGUAUCAAUUUUGCAUUCGGAAGAAAAUUAGGUUAUUUCCGGAAAUAAAAAAAAUAACGACCUGAACCUUCACUGGCUGACGUGCCUACUCCAAUGAGUCUAUCAUACGGUGGUGCAGAGUGCUUGCUGCAGCUCCAGCUACUAAAGCCAACCAAUAGAUCUGUUCAUACAACAAUAUUCCAACUCGUCUUCCUGCUCCAGUUUUUUCUUUAUGCCUUCGUUCAAUUUCCUGCGCAAGUGAGACAUUCUCCAGAAUACUUCUUCCUUUCACAAAGGCUCCUUGAUGUUGGGAUAUAAUCCUAGGUAGGAUGCUGCUCAAUCGAUCAUUGAAGAGGCGUGCAAUGACCUUGUAAAGAAAAUUACAUAGACUAAUUGGCCUAAAUUUCUUAAGCCUGGCAGGCCUUCUCAAUCUUCUAGAACACCUAUGGUCAUUGGGGAAGAUUCCGAUGAAUCAGAAGAUGAAGAGCUUUUGAUUUGUCAAGAUUCUACUCCAAUUUAAAGUGACUCAGAAGACGAGCCUCUUCUUUUAUUGACGUCAAGUCGAGCUGAUAUCCCCGCUCAUGAAGACGAGCAGGAGGAAUCCGAGAAAGAAAAUGACCCAAAUCACACUCCUUUACUUGAGAAUGGGGAGGUUAAUGAUGUGGCCCCUGCUUUCUCAAUCCAAUCUCGUCAAGGAAUCGAUAUACUCACUUGAUUGCUAUGCUGCUUUCUAUUCUUGCAAGUUAGGGACACGGAGAGGCAUCGCUCAUCCCUUAUCUAAUAAUAUUCACUGGACCAAUUCUCCGAAAGUUAAUAAUCGUAGAUUGAUCACUGAACCUCCCACUGAUGCCGGUUGAACUGCCAAAAACGUUGAAACACACUCGUGCUCGGCCUGCAGCAAAGUUCCGCAGGUUAACUUGGCAAUCUAGAUAUCGGCUAGGUGGGAGACGAGACGGCAGUGAUUGGUCUGUUAAAAAGUCGGGGCACCACAUGUUGGGAGGGAAGAGAACUCACAACAAACAAACAAACGAAUCUAAAAANAAAUUUUUAAAAUAAGAAUAGGGGUGGGAACAAUUAGUAAAAAUAAUUUAUUAUAAUAAAUUUAUAAAUUUGAUAAAAAUAAAUUUUUUUAAUAAAUUUAUAAAGUUUUUAAAAAUUCUACUUAUACUUAAAUUUAAGAAAAGUAAUUUAUUAUAAUAUUUAAAUAUAAUUUAUUAUAAAAUUUAUUAUAAUAUUUAAAUAUAAAUAAUAUGUAUUAAUAUAGUAAAAAUUAAUAAUUUUAUAAUAAAAAUAAUAUAUUAUAAUAUAUAAUAUAUAAUAUUUAUAUAAUUUGGUUUUAAUUUAAUUUAUAAUUUUAAUAAAGUUUGAAACUAAAUAUUGGAAUAGCACUAUUCCACCGAAAUGGUGGAACAGUAAAUAACAAGCUAUUCCAGAAUAGCUGGGAAUAGCAAGGUUUGAUCAGGAUAAAAUAUUUCGGCCAAAAAUUAUUCUAUUUGGUGGAAUAGCGCGCUUAUACCCCGAAUCAGAACCAAACGGGACCUUAAUAAAUAAUGUUCGAAAAGUAAUUGUGAGUUGUAGAUUCAUCUAUUAAAUAAAUAAAUUUAUUUGAAGAUGGAUGAAGUGAAUUAAUUAAAAUAAAUCUAUAUACCCAAACCACAAAAUACAGCAACAAGAUCAUGUAAAAUUUGCUCACCUAUUAUGUAGGUGAGUAGGUCUAUGAUUUGUAUUUUAAUCUUUAAAAAUCUAUAAUUUAUUCAUUUGUUGCAGUAAUUUUUCAAUGCUGGAGUUCAAAAGAGUUUGUUAAAUUAUAAAAUUAUAGUGUAAGAGCUAUGCAAGUGUAUAAAAUAUUUUUGUGGUUGCUGUGAAAAGUAAUUGUCAGUUGCUUGGUGUGCAAGAUUUUAAGACUUGAACUUAGGCAGUGGAUGACUUGGACUUCUUUUGUUUUUUCCUUGAAAACAAAAGACUACCAUCAUAUCUAAUAAUCGUACCAUAAAAUUUUCUCAAAAGCGAUCUUUCUUUAAUACCAAUAGUAGGGGACAAAAAUUUUAUGGACAGCGUGUCCAUAAAGAAUAAUUUGAGGAUGUACGGAUUGGCGCCGAUGGCACCCGAGCCACGCGGGGCUCAUCGGCCCUGCUGCUCUCCCUUUUGGGAUAGCGGUGGGACUGUUUUCGUGCACCCGAUGCAUCAUUUUUAUUCUAAAAUUUUAUUUUUUAUUUUUUAAUUAUAAUUUAAUAUAAUAGAGAUAUAUACUAUGAUUUUUAAAAAUAUGUGUAAAAGAAUUUUGAAUCCUGAAUUUUAAAUUCUUUUAUAUUUAUUUUUAAUAUAUAUAUAUAAUUGAGCUCCUCCUAUAUUUUUAAAAGUAUCAAGUAAUUGGUACUUGUAACUUUUUGGCAGUCAGACUAUAUAUAUAUAUAUAUAUAUAAUUUAAAAUUAAAAAUAAAAUUUUUAAAGUAAAAAAUGGUGCACCAGGUGCACCAAAAAAAUACUGUUGCUCUAGGCGCAUAGAAACUAAAUCAUCAUUAAAAUUGAUGCAGGCCUAGUAUAAUAAAAAGCACUAAGGGCUGUGCAAACCGAGCGAGCCGGCUCUGCGGUUCGACUCGAGUUUCGGCUCGAUAUUGUGCUCGCUCCGGGAGCUUCAGACUCGAAAUAAAAAGCCGAGCUUGGAACAAAAUAAAAGGCUCGAAAUUCAUUUCAAGCCGAGCUUGAGUAUUACUCGGCUCGUUCGAAUUAGGCUCGAAAAGCUCGAAAAUCUCGAAUAUAUAUAUAUAUAUAUAUAUAUAUAUAUAUAUAAUAAUAUAUAUAUAUAUAUAUAUAUAUAUAUAUAAUAUAUAUAUAUAUAUAGGCUGGGACUACUAUACUCUUAUGAGUAUAGACCCCUUUGUACUCAUAAAUUUUUAACCGUUGAUUGAUGGGAUGUGUGGUUAGGAUGAUGGUGGUCCCCACUUAGAAUGAUAGUGGUCCCCUAGGGUUGAGUGGGUAGUUGGUUAAAUAGUAUGAUCUAACGGAUGAAAAUGAUUAAUGGAAUAAAUCUAAGGGUCGAAAACUUAUGCCACUGUUUGGUUGGGGGUUAAGGGGUGGAAUAACCCCUUAACCCCCAAUUUAUACCCAAACACCACUCUUUUAGGGUGGGGUUAGUAAACCCCACCCCAAACCGGGUUAGCGGGGUUUACUAACCCCACUCUCCCUCCCAACUUUAACCCCGCACGCAUCCUGAGCCCUCACCUUUUUCUUCUUUAUCAAUCAUUAACCCCACUCCGCCACCCAACUUUAACCCCGUACGCAUCCUGAGCUCUCACUUUUUUCUUCUUUAUCAAUCAUUAUCUUCUUAUCCCACCUACUCCAAACAAACACUUUUUUUCACUAUCCUAGACUAACUCUAACCUCCAACCAAACACAAAAAAAUUUUAACACCAUUUUAAUCCUGAACUUAACCCUAUCCCUGGAAUAGUUUGUCACGCCCCAGGGGCCGAUUUUAAAAACCUUUUAAAAACAGAGUUGCGGAAAACGUGCCAUUUUUUUUUUUUCAACCUGGCCCACGCGACGUACAGACCCGCCACAAAUACAAAGUUCCUCUGUCCACUCGGACAGAGUCUCCUUUGUAUUUGCACGGCGUACCAGCUAUACAANCUGCGGGAGAGGAUGUUCCACUUCUCGCGCGAGGCCGUCGCGAGGCUGAAGGCGAGGGCGAACGAGGAGUGCGGGCGAGGCGACUUGUCGUCGUUCCAGUCGCUGACCGCGCUCCUUUGGCGCGCCGUCACGCGCGCGCGGGGCCUCGCGCCUGGGCAGGCGACGAGCUGCCGCGUGGCCAUCGAAAACCGAGCGCGGCUGCGGCCGCCGCUCGCGAAGGAGUACUUCGGGAACUCGAUAUACGUCGUCGCCGCGUCGGCCACGGCGGGCGAGCUCCUCGCGCAGGGAAUCGGGUGGGCCGCGGCGCUGGUGAACCGGGCCGUGGCGGAGCACACGGACACCGAGAUCAGGGCUAAGGUCUUGUUUAAACCAACCGAUCGAGUUGAAAUUUUAAUUUGCAUUUUAUCUUCGCGUAGAAAUUUUCUCUAGUAAAUACUAAUGUAGAAGAUCGAUUAUUAAGUUGCUGGAAAACGGUAACAGUAAUAUUUUUUGUACUUGGCAGUUGGGGGCAUGGAUGGCGCGGCCCUUUGUGUACACGCUCCGCGAGUUUGACGAGAACAGCGUGAUGGUGGGGAGCUCGCCGCGGUUCGACAUGUACGGGUGCGAGUUCGGGUGGGGGAGGGCGGUGGCGGCGCGGAGCGGCGGGGCGAACAAGUUCGACGGAAAAAUAUCGAUGUAUCCGGGUUGGGAGGGAGGGGGGAGCAUGGACGUGGAGCUGUGCUUGGUCCCGGAGAACAUGGCGGCGCUCGAGAGGGACGAGGAGUUCAUGGGCGCCGUGUCACCGCCCGUGGAGAUGGAGGUGCUGCUCGAGGGGAUUAAUUAACGGGAGAUGCAUGCUGACGAGAUUGAUCGAGCUGGGCAUUAGUAAUGCUGGAUCUACAGCCACCACUAGUGUUUUCUGUAAUAUUAAAAUUUCAAAAGAUUUAUAAUAAAUUUGAGGAGGGAGGAUGACGGUCUCUUCAUGAAGAAGUAAGUACGUUGUUAAUCUAAUGGUCCUUUUUGAAUUGUUGGCCAACUUUAAUCAGUCUGUUGUCUGCAUAGCUUGAAGAGUACUAGUCACUAGAAGAUUCUGAAUUGGAAUUAUGUCAGAUUGUAAUAUAUAAAAUUUUUAAUUUUCUCCGUACGUGCCGAGUUACUAACAUUAUUAAUUAUUAAAUUAAUUUCCUCCAUCUAAAUUAUUUGUCACGUGUCCGCGAACUUAUCUCCUUUGAUGCCAAUCUUUUGCAUCUAUUGUUUUUUUUAAUAUUUUAUUUAUUUUUAUUAUUUUAAAUUAAUACCAUUCCGUUAGGAAAAGUCCCACUUACUCACCAACCUCGCAACUACGGAGCCUUGACCUCGGACUAGAUCGUGCCAAGUGGACCGAACGUGUUGUAUUUUUUAUUUAUUUUUGUAAAACUGUUAGAACCCCCUCGCCUUUAAACUGUUUCAUUGAGUAUAUAAUUUAAAAUUUAAAAUUUNNNNNNNNNNNNNNNNNNNNNNNNNNNNNNNNNNNNNNNNNNNNNNNNNNNNNNNNNNNNNNNNNNNNNNNNNNNNNNNNNNNNNNNNNNNNNNNNNNNNGGAGGGGUCUGCAAGGACGGCGCAGCCCGGGCCUUCAACAAACCCGAGAGGGAGCAAGGAGAGAGAAAGGAUGGAGAAAGAAUGGAGAGUGUAGAGAGGAGAGCUCCGGCACCGGCGGCGUGCUCAGGUGGUCGGGAGCGCGCGCAGAGCGGUGAGCAGUGGAAUGUCGGGAGGCGGCUAAGGGCUAGCGGCAAGCUUAGGUUAGGGUUAGAUGGCUCCAAACCUACGAAAACAACUAUAUAGCGGGUUGCAACAAAGCAUGAAAGCCCUCAUAACAUCGGAAUUUCAAUCCGGUCCCUCACAUCUACGACUUAAAAGCAAUGAAUUGCCCCUCACAGCUGCGAUUCCCUUGCGAAACGGUACAUAAAAUAUCGCGACUUUUGCGAAAAUACCGUUUGCACCCGGGACCUUCCCGAUCAACGCGCGAUUCCGCCAGAUCUGUCAGUCAGAUCAGCCGAACGGCAUCACACCUGCGAUCAGCACGACAGACAACAAAGCUUGCGAUUUCGUUUCGUUUUGUCGACCACGAAUGACGACAAAAUCCAACUUCUAUCGUGAAUAGAAGGAAACACACACAUAAAACAUAGUAAACAUGUAUUUUUGAGAUUUUCUCGAAAAUCCGUUGUGUCAAAACUGAAAUCCGUCAGCGUCAUUGGUUCCAGAACAGCUGACUCCGGUUGAAACGACAUCAUUGGACUACUAUGAACAGAGUCCCGGUACGAGCCAGAAGCCAACCUCCCCGUGCUUCUCCCGGAAAAAUCAAGUUACUAUUUCACUUUUAGUGAAACUUGGAACAUCGCGUAGAAUUCCGUUUUUAACUCGUUUCACCCGAAACUUGACGAGUGCUUUUGUAAUUAAAUUACACACAAAAAUAUCGUAACUGAGAGUUUAGCUACACUGCUAAAAUCUCAGUGCUUACAUAGCUACUUUUUCUUAACCCGAACAAACGGGGGCUAUGAUAUAAAGGAGCCAAUACUCAUAAAAGUAUAGUAGGCGCGGACUCAUAUUAAUCUAUAUAUAUAUAUAUAUAUAAUAUUUAUAAAUAUAAUGUAUUUUAAUUAUAUAUAUAGGCUUUAAUUUAAUUUGGGCCAUUAUUCUUGACCCAUAAAAUAAACCCAACAAGUACAACCGUGCAAUUAAGCCCAAUUCUAAAUUUACGUAACACACUCUCUCUUUCAGAUUUUCACUGUUGCACAUAAUCCUAAAACAUGAUAACAUUCAAAUUACCCUUAUCUAGUCAGGAAGUCACCCUAGCUCACAUUUCUUAUAAUUAUUUUGUAUUUUGAACUAUUGGACAUGUUGCAUCAAAUUGUAGGUAAUGUUCUAUAAAAAUUAAACUAUUGAUUAUAUAAUGUCGAGAAUUUCAAUCUGCUCGUUUAGAGCUCGAGCUCGGCUCGACUCGAAAUUAGGCUCGCUCGAGCUCGCUCGAAUUAAUUUCAAGCCGAGCUUGAGCCUAGAAUAUUUAGACUCGAAAUUAAUUUCAGGCCGAAUUUGAGCUGACAUAAGCUCGCUCGAGCUCGGCUCGUUUCCACCCCUAAUAAAGACCUAACGUAAUCCUUACUUCAGUCAACAUAAAAAACAAAAGAAAAAUAGUUUUUUGACCAACAAUUUAUGAGCGGACUAGGUGCGUUGCAUAUUAUAAUAAAUUUUUAAAAAAUAAAAAACUGCAUAUGCUAAUCAAAGUUCUGGAUAGUUUAACACAUAAAUGUUAUAUAAAAGAAUAUUAUUUUGAAAAUUUUGUAGAACAAGAUGUUAUUCAAUUAUUAAUGAUGUAAAAAGUAUUUUUUAAAAAAAUCAUAUAAUAUAUUAUUAUUUUAUUAAAAUUUUAAAAUAAAUUUAUUUAAAAAUAUGAAUUACCAAAAAUUCGAAUAUGCGAGGUCAAGCAUCAAUUAUUAAUUUCAUUCUCAACUUCACUGGAGAUGUCGGCAGUGUAAUGUGUUGAACUAUAAAUACGAGGCUCAAGAAACAAGCAGAGAACAUGCUCGAAACCAACCCCGCUCGCUCAGGAAAUCGGUCGAACACCUCACGGGUGAGCGAAAGAUGCCUUAUUCACGGCCCUCCCCCACCGUUCAUACCAUCUCCACAUGCACCGUGAAACCCCCACCCCGUCCCCGCCGUAUAUGCCAUCUAACGCCGUGGGACAUCGCCAUGCUCUCCACCCACUACAUCCAAAAGGGCCUCCUCUUCGCCAAUCCCCCUUCCUCCUCCUCUCUCAACCCAAAACAACUCAUCGAGCAACUCAAAUCCUCCCUCUCCGUCGCUCUCCUCCAAUUCUACCAGCUCGCCGGCCGCCUCGUAACCGAGGAGGAUCGUGAUGCCGACGGCGAAGUCAAAAGCACGUCGGUGUACAUCGAUUGCAAUGGCCAGGGCGUGGAGUUCGUCCAUGCGGCCGCCGACAGAAUUAAAGUUGCUGAUGUGUUGGCAUUAUCAGGCGACCUGCCUAAGUUUCUGCAUGAUUUUUUCCAACUCGACGGGGCUGUCAACCACCACGGUCAUUUUAGCCCGCUGCUCAGCGUGCAGUUGACCGAGCUGGCGGAUGGCGUGUUCUUGGGAUGCUCGUUCAAUCACGUUGUCGGAGACGGCACGUCCUACUGGAAAUUCUUCAACGCCUGGGCCGAGAUCGCGCGAGCCGCCGACGGCGGCGGCGGCGGCCUCUCCCGCCCUCCGGUCCACGACCGCUGGUUCGUCGACGGCUACGGCGCCCCUCCUCUCAAGCUACCACUGACGGAUCCGAGCCGCUUCCUCGAACGGUUUGCUCCGCCGCCGCUGCGGGAGAGGAUGUUCCACUUCUCGCGCGAGGCCGUGGCGAGGCUGAAGGCGAGGGCGAACGAGGAGUGCGGGCGAGGCGACUUGUCGUCGUUCCAGUCGCUGAGCGCGCUCCUUUGGCGCGCCGUCACGCGCGCGCGGGGCCUCGCGCCGGGGCAGGCGACGAGCUGCCGCGUGGCCAUCGAAAACCGAGCGCGGCUGCGGCCGCCGCUCGCGAAGGAGUACUUCGGGAACUCGAUAUACGUCGUCGCCGCGUCGGCCACGGCGGGCGAGCUCCUCGCGCAGGGAAUCGGGUGGGCCGCGGCGCUGGUGAACCGGGCCGUGGCGGAGCACACGGACACCGAGAUCAGGGCUAAGGUCUUGUUUAAACCAACCGAUCGAGUUGAAAUUUUAAUUUGCAUUUUAUCUUCGCGUAGAAAUUUUCUCUAGUAAAUACUAAUGUAGAAGAUCGAUUAUUAAGUUGCUGGAAAACGGUAACAGUAAUAUUUUUUGUACUUGGCAGUUGGGGGCAUGGAUGGCGCGGCCCUUUGUGUUCACGCUCCGUGAGUUUUACGAGAACAGCGUGAUGGUGGGGAGCUCGCCGCGGUUCGACAUGUACGGGUGCGAGUUCGGGUGGGGGAGGGCGGUGGCGGCGCGGAGCGGCGGGGCGAACAAGUUCGACGGAAAAAUAUCGAUGNAUCAUUCUCGGUGGUGUUUUUCAUUGUUUAACGUUGAGUGGUGUUGAGUGGACCUUUAUAAUAUUUGAACAGAUGACUGGCAAGGUUCGUGUCAAUGAAUUCCUAAUCUACUAAUAUAGGUUCGAGGGUUCCAAUUGUAGAUUAAUAAAAUAUGCAGCUUGACUUCAAUGAUGAUCUUUUAACUUUCUUAGAUUCAUUUUAUGAAAAAAAAAGAGUUUUUUUAAUUAUAUCUCAAUAUAAAAAUAUAUCUCGUUAUGAUAGAUAUAUGGAUUUUUCAUACGCAUGUAGAAUAUGGAUGAUCUGGUUAUCUAUCCUUAGCGAAUGAUCAGUGAACUGGAUUGAUCGCUUUUGUAAGGUGGAUAACUACCUAACUUAUAUUCUAUAUGUGAUAUUAACCCUACAUAUUUAUCAUAAAUAAAAAAUAUAAAAUUUUUAUUAACGAGGAGUUUACGACUAAAAAUGACAUUAAAAUAUGGUAAUGUUUUUAUCUUUUAUUUUUGUGUUUGGAUUAAAGUUUGACAGAAAUAAGUUGCGGUUUUCACCUGGUCAGAGUAAUCAGCACUGAUCAUGAAAGGGUCUUAGCAGUUCGAUUGAUCUGUUGUCCUCUUUUCAACCUCGGUUGUUAGGUUUUUAUUUGGUAUUCUAAUUGUUGAAUGAAGAAGAACUGAUCAUGAGAAGGUCUUAGAAUUUCGAUACAUCUGUCGUCCAUUUUUUUUUUUUUCAAUCUCGGUUGUUAGACUUUUCAUGGUAUUCUAAUUGUUACAUGAAGAAGUAGGUCUUUGACAAUAGGAGAGAGGAGUUUAAAUAAUAUUAAGAAAACUUUAAAAUUAUAAUGUCCUUUGUCAUCGCCACCACCAUCUAGGUGGCAAUGAUUACGGGUCGAGUUAGAGCAGUCGUAGAGGGUAAUUAAUUAGGGGGACUCGUCGUGGAGGUAGGGGUGCCCCCCACUGUGCCGCGGGUACUUGAGGAGCAGGGAGAGGUCGCGACGGUACAUGAGGCCCUAGUUCGUGUCGAGGUGCAGGUGCGAGGGGGGAGGGACAACUUUAUAGUAUUGGUGGAGAAACUUUUGAAAGCACUAAAAUUUAUGCUUGUAAAAUAUAAAAAUAGUUGCGAAACGAGAAUAUAAAAAGUUUGUUAUUUGCAUACCAUUCAGUUGUAGCAAUUUUUACAAAGUUUUGCUCCAAAAUUGAUAGCUGAAAAUUUCAAACCUUAAAAUUUUCUUAAUCAAAUUAAGAGCUAUAUAUUAUAUUAUUUAAAAUAUUAGUAAGUUGUGCAGAUUAAAUUUAAAUUAUCAUGAUAAAUAUCAAGUUAGAAUUUAGUUAGAUUUUUUUUUGAAAAAAAAAUGUAACAUGCUAUCCGCUUCAUUUAAUAAAAGUAUGAACUAGUUAGGCUACAUUAAUCGGGCAACAAAACCUCACGAAGAGACAAAAAAGAGAGGGAGAGAGAGAAACAACAAAUGGCAGACCUCCAAAAAAAAAAAAAGAAGGAGAAAUCCAAAAACAAAAAUAAAUCUUAUUUGAGUAAGAUUAAUAUUUAAAUCUGUUAGAGAUAAAUUAAAAUUUAAAUAUUAAUUAGAGUAAAAAUUUAAUUAGACUUAUUUAGAUACCUUUUUAUAUAAGUUAUAAAUAUAGCAUAUGUGCUAGUACUUUGGUGGUGGUGGUAUGAAUUAGCACCCAUAUGGUAUGACCAAGGCGGUCAUGAUUUUGGAUGUACCUAGUACAUGGGUGCAAAAGGACGUGUGCGACUUUCUUAACCGCAGGUCAUUGAUACACCUUGUGCACGAGUGCACAGGAUGGGACAGAGGCCUUCUGAAUUUAUAGAAAACGAGAGAAGGGUGAGAGAGAUUCAAAAAGAGAACUCGGAUUGAAGUUGCUCUAUUGUAAAAAAGGAGUUAGAUGUAAUCUUUUUUUACUUAGUAAAUUUUAUUUUACUCACAUAUUUUUUUAUUUGAUUUUUUUCUUUUUUGUGGUUGUAUCAGUUUUCGCGAAUGAAACGAAUUUAUGAUAAAAACUCGAUUUAAUGCUUUCAUUAUAAAAUUCCAACAUUCGAUAUCGGAUCAACAACAAUUGGUAUAAGAGUGGGUUACGAAUUCUUAAAAUCUAAUACCAGAACGAAUGCUAAAUUUCCAACAUACAAAAUGUCACCUAUCUUUCUGUUACUGCAUAUCCCCUGAAAACACAACUGCAAGCAAAGUGGAAUGAGAGAUGCCUUAUUUCUAAGAGAGAGAAAUUAAUUCCUUGCGUACGCCCCAAACCCAAAAAAAAAAAAAAAAAAAUUGACAUAUAGAAUUUAGUCUUACUUUAAAAAAAUAUAUAUAUUUAUUAGAUAUUCUCUCUCAUUUCUUUGCUUGAAUACUAUGUGAACUUUAAUAUAUAUAUAUAUAUAUAUAUAUAUAUAUAUAUAGAGUGAGGCUACUAUGCUAUCGAAAGUACGGAGCCUUCCGUGCUUUCAGCUCAUUUUCGAUGUUGCGGCUUUCGAAUCGUCGAUCAGCUCCGUUAAACUUGAUCUAGAGUAUUUGAAAUACCUAGAAAAUAAAUUUUAUGAUUUUACGAUAUCAUUUACCUAGUGAACGAAGGGGCUCAAAUUCAACGGCUGAAAAUAAAAAUCUUAUAAAAUGUAAUAAUAUGACAUUAAAAUUUUAAAUCAAAGAUAUUGAUCUUGUUUUAUAUAGUAUAAAGAAUUUUCUAUCAAAAUUUCACGUGAUUUGGAUAUUUCUACACCGUUAAACUUGCAAACGGCUCACUACGGCCAUUGAAAUUUAUUGAUUUUGAGCCCAUUCGAUUAUUAGGCAAAUGAUAUCGAAAAAUAAUAAAAUUUAUUUUCUAGGUACUCCAAAUACUCUAGAUCAAGUUUAACGGAGCCGAUUGACGAUUCGAAAGUCGUAACAUCGUAACGAGCUGGAAGCACGGAAGGCUCCGUGCUUCCGAUAGCAUAGUAGUCUCACU
rnacentral:lncRNA from 1 species